rnacentral:lncRNA from 1 species
AAUAAGCUUCUCAAACUUCACUUCCACGUAUCACCGUGGAGAACUCAAACCGAUGCACCAAAUGCAAUGGCAAGGGCACACGUAGUGCCCAAGUCCUUCUCUCUCAAAUCCCACCGAAGCAACUAAUGCUAGGGAGGAAAAUGAGAGGAAGAACCAGAAGGAGAACACCAAGAACUCCAAGAUCUAGAUCCAAGGGGUUCCCCUCACACAGAGGAGAAAGUGAUUGGUGGAAAUGUGGAUCUAGAUCUCCUCUCUCUUUUCCAUCAAAAACUAGCAAGAAACCAUGGAGGGAUUGAGAGUUAGCAAGCUCGAAGAAGGUCAACAAUGGGGGAAGAACACGAGCUUAAAGGAUAAGGUUCAUUGGGGAAGAAGACCCCCUUUUAUAGGAGGGGGGAAAUCCAACCGUUAUGUGCUCAGCCCGCACACGAGCGGUACUACCGCUCCACGAGCGGUACUACCGCUCAGGCGGAAGAAACAAGGAAAAGGAGCAACAAAACAUGAACCUUGGGGCGGUAGUACCGCAUAUAAGCGGUACUACCGCUCACCCCAGCGGUACUACCGCUGGAGGAGUAGAACACGGGACCAAAAGAGGCAGGCAGAGCAGAGUAUGGCGGCAGUGAAGCAGAAAUGGUACUACCGCUCGACCGGAGCGGUACUACCGCUUAGGCAGUACUACCGUGCCUUACUGCCGUGCAACUACUGCUAAACCCGACACGAAAAGAGCAGGACCCAAAAACGAGGCGGUAUAAGAGCGGCACUGCAGCGGUACUACGGCUGAGAGCUCCAAGCGGUACUACCGCUUGGGCUCGCGGUACUACCACUGGGACCAGACAAAAACCACACUCAAGAAAACAAGAACUGCCAUAACUUUUGCAUAUGAGCUCUGAAUUGAGCAAACUCAAGCUUAUAGUAAGAAGAGGCAGGGAAGGUAUGCCUAACAAAUGGAGGAGUGAGACCCCCAACAGAGAAGAACGAGCAUAACCUCCAACAUCGAAAAAAACAUAGAAGAUGCAUGUGACCUCCGUUUUUGAUGAACUCGAGCUUGUCAUCAAGAUGACCAUAAGCUCUAAGACUCACAAAGAGAACCAAACAAGAACAAAGAAAGAUGAUGCAAGGAUGCAAUGGUUUGAGCUCUCAAUGAACGAUACGAUCAAGCUACUCAUCGAGAGCCCCCCCUUGAUAGUACGGCAAUCGAUCCUAUAACCCGGUGUCGGUGUCAAAACCGGCAGAUCUCGGGUAGGGGGUCCCGAACUGUGCGUCUAAGGCAGAUGGUAACAGGAGGCAGGGGACACGAUGUUUUACCCAGGUUCGGGCCCUCGUGAUGGAGGUAAAACCCUACGUCCUGCUUGAUUUAUUCUUGAUGAUAUGAGUAUUACAAGAGUUGAUCUACCAUGAGAUCGGAGAGGCUAAACCCUAGAAGCUAGCCUAUGGUAUGAUUGUAUGUUGUCCUACGGACUAAAACCCUCUGGUUUAUAUAGACACCGUAGGGGUCUAGGGUUACACAAGGUCGGUUACAAAGGAGGAGAUAUCUAUUCCGUACUGCCUAGCUUGCCUUCCACGCCAAGUAGAAUCCUAUUUGGACACGGGACGAAGUCUUCAAUCUUGUAUCUUCAUAGUCCAACGGUCCGGCCAAAGGAUAUAAUCCGGCUGUCCAGAGACCCCCUAAUCCAGGACUCCCUCAGUAGCCCCUGAACCAGGCUUCAAUGACGAUGAGUCCGGCGCAGUGUUGUCUUCGGCAUUGCAAGGCGGGUUCCUCCUCCGGAUACACCACAGAAGAGUUCGAAUAAAAGGAUAGUGUCCGACCCUGCAAAAUAAGUUCCACAUACCACCGUAGAGAGAAUAAUAUUUCCACAAAUCUAAUCUGUUGACACGUUUUGGCAACAUGACAUCAUGCCAUGGCUCGGUGAUUAUUCGAACUGUUUUUCUUUAACUAGCCCCGCACAUAACGCGAGGCAGUUUCUUGACACGUCUUGUCAAAGCAGAGAUCGUGUCCCCCUUAUUACGGGAUUCUCAUCAAUACGGGCGUGGGUAACCCAACCAUGCCAUCAAUUACGGUGCUUGAGGGAUAAGCGAGUUUUACCAGGCUAGUGGGGGCACACAGUUUCGGCCGCCCUUAUAAAGGGAUAAGGUUUAUCCUUUUUCUACCCACGCCUUCUUCCUCCUUGCUCAUCCAUUCUCGCGCACUCGAGCUCCAACGCCCAAGUCCACAUCCUUCUCCUCAACCUUCUCCAAACAUGUCCAGAGCGGGAGGCAAGUGGAUGGCUUCCUCCGUCACGAAGGGACACAUCAAAAAGCUACACAGAGCCGGAUACUUAUCCGUGAAUAUCGCGCAUCGGCUGCCCGCUGCGGGGCAGAUCGUCCCUACCCCGGAACCUCACGAGAGGGUAGUCUUCCUCCACCACUUCCUCCGUGGACUGGGGUUUCCCCUCCAUCCAUUCGUCCAUGGUCUUAUGUUCUACUACGGGCUGGACUUUCAUGAUCUAGCCCCGAACUUCAUCCUCAACAUUUUGGCGUUCAUCGUCAUGUGUGAGGCUUUCCUCCGCAUCCGGCCCCACUCCGGCCUGUGGCUGAAGACCUUCAAUAUCAAGACGAAGGUGGUGGGAGGCCAACAAGCAGAAUGCGGCGGAGCCAUGGUGGGCAAGAUGCCCAAUGUUAUAUGGCUUGAAGGCUCCUUCGUGGAGACAAUAAAGGGGUGGCAAUCGGCGUGGUUCUACAUCACCGAGCCGCGCGACACCAACUGGGUGGCGGCCCCCAAGUUUCGAUCCGGAAUCCUCACGUGUCUCACCUCCUGGAAAGAGAAGGGCCUAUCCUGGGGUUCAUCGGUGGAGCUGGACAGACUCCAUAAAUGUAUCCGGAAUAUGGCAAGCAAUAAGCUCAAGCUUGUCAACAUAGUCCAGGUCAUGCUCUUCCGCCGGAUCCUCCCGUGUCAACAACGGGAUUUCAACUUGUGGGAGUUUGACCCAGCCCAGGAUCAGACUCUGAGCAAGCUCUUCGACACGACGCACAAGGAUGUCUGGAGGGUGCUGUUCAAGGGUGCCGAGGUCCCUCCCUCUCUCACCGAGGACCACGGGCUAAGCGCGGAAUGUCCUGCGAAUUCGGUAAGUUUUGUACAUCUGGUAGGAUUUUUACUUCCCAUAGCUUAACCACGUACGGGGUCUGAGCUCCCAUGCCUUUGACAGGACUGGGUGGGGGCAUCGGAGAAGAUCAACUGUCCGGCCCCUCUACCCGAAGACACUGCGGACGCUCUCCUGACGGAGAAGCUGACUUCGGCUCCUUACAAGGUGCCGGAGAAGACCAAGAAGAAGGCCAAGGGAAACCGAAAGAGUUUUCGACGCCAGGUGGUAUCGGACUCCUCGUCCGAUGAAUCUGUGACGCACUCCUCCCACGAAGACGAGGAGGAAGAUGAAGAUGCUCCCCCUCCAGCCGGGGGAGACAAGAAAAGGAAGGCCGCCCCAACCGGGGGGGCGAAGGGUCCAAGAAGGGAAGGACUCUCCUUCCAGACUGCUCCACCACCGCCGCCGAAGAUGAAGACGAGUGGCUGCUCAGGGCCAAGCCCCUGGCAAAGUCGUAAGUAUUCGGAUACCAGAGUAACUCAUAGCAUACCUUUGUCGCACUGCUUCUCCUAACACCGAGUAUGAUUAUGCAGACCGCCCCAAGCCCGUAUCGACGUAUCUUCAUCGGGCGGCUCCUUGGACUCGUCGGAUAUGGAUAGCGAUCCACUUCCGACCGCCACCUCCCCUUGCCCUACGGACAAUGCCGAGGUGCUGUCUCAAGAGGCACCGGGUCGAGGGGAGACAGUCCCGGAGGCACCUCAAGGUGACCUUUCGGACUCCGGGAGCAGAGGGGGUAAGGCUCCCGAUGGCUCCGAGUUCGGCCUUCAGCCGAACACUGCGCCGGAACCUCCAGUGGUUCCGGACUCGGGCAGGCGUCCUCCUUCCAAAAGGGGUAAGACGCCCGUGUCGGUGACCUCUGUCCAUCCAGAGGCACCGGACAGUCUGCUGGGAGCGCUUCGCAGCGCUUCCAUCGACGAAGAGCACCACACUAUUAUGAGUGCGGUGAUCCAGAAGGUUCAGUCCGCCAAGAGCGGACUGACUGAAGCCUGUGCCAGCCUUCUAACAGGCUUUGAGGUAAGUAUUUGAAAUAUAGGAAAAAUAUUACCGCAUAGACAGUAGCCCCUGAUGCUCUAUUUGGUGUUCAAAAAGAAAAGCCAAGUAGAGGAUCAACUAAUAUCUGCAGGAGUCUAAUAUAAGUAUGUCUAUAUGCGUAUGCAGGCUUCGCUGCUGGCCUCUGCCGCACUGACUGCGGAGGUCGCCGCACUGAAGCAAGACCUUGAGGGGUUCGAGAAAGAGCUCGGCUUUGCCAAGAGGCAACUCGAGGAGAACAAAGGUAAGUAAUACCUUGUCUGUAUAUAUAAAAGAAAAUGUGGUUGCGAAAUGACAGGAUCAUCAUGAAUGUGCCAGGGGCCACGACCGAGGUGGCGACCCUAAAGCAAGCGAUGUCCGAGGUCGAAGACAAAGCGGCCAAGGAGCACACCGAGCAGGAAAGGCAAGAGGCACGGGUGGGCGAGGUGCAGCAAGAGCUCCAGGCUCUCGUGAUGAAGCACGAGGCUUUGGAGCUUGACUCGAAGAUGCGAGAGUCUCAGCUCGCCGCGGUCCUCGAUAGCGCAAAGAAUGCCAAGGCUGAAGCCCAAAAGGCCCUCCAAGAGAUUGAGGCGGUAAGGAAGAUAGCGGCGGGUAAGGCAUUCAAUAUGCAAAGCAAGCAUGUGAAAGUAAAUUACUUAUUACUUACCCGAGUCCGGAGCUCUCCAGGAGCAUUCGCAGAUUUGCCCCGCAGCGUGUCGGAUGCCGCACAGUUUUACCAGGCCGAGGAGGGAAGCUCAACAGAGAAGUUGUUCUGGUCUCAGUAUACUGGGACCGAACACCCAAUGCCUCUGAGCGACCAGCUGAAGCAACUGGUCGAGCUGCACAAGGCGGCCGAACAGGCCAUGAAGGGCUUUAUAGUCCGGAUGUGGCCUGGCGACGCCCUUCCCAAUAGCUACUUCGGCCUGGUGAGGCGGCUUGUGGAUGCCUUCCCACGGCUAGAAGUCAUCAAGCGAUUCAUCUGCAUCGAAGGUGCACGCCGGGCUUUUGCCCGUGCGAAGGUGCACUGGGACAAACUGGACGCCGUGUAGCUGGUGAAGGAAGGGCCGCCGCAGGGCAAGGAGCAUCGCCACCCCGAGAUGUACUAUGAGGGUGUCCUGAAGGGUGCCCGUCUUGUAGCGGAUGAGUGUGCGAAAGAUGUAAUAUUUGAAUAAACUUGCUCGUGUAGUCCUGUAUUAUGAAAACUUGUUCAUAUGCGCUAUGCAAUGCUUGUUUGAAUUUAAAAUAUUGCCUUCUGUUCGGCUAUUUAUCAAAUCUGAGAGAUGGCUAGUCGUCGGCUUCUGCCCCCACGCCACGAGUGCUGGGGUGUUCGGGAUAAACCUGAGCACUCUUGUUCCCAUUUUUGGGUCCUUCGAGGGAGGUGCUCAGCACAACGAACAAGGCAAUCGGACUAUAAUGCGUUAUCACUCUCACUUAGCCAUAGAAUUCUAUAAUUUUAAAUUACGGUGAAGCCCCUAGUGUUUGGAAGGACGAAUUCGGGGCGCUAUACACGCCUUAAGCUGGACAGGGCCGACUCCUCGCUCUAAGCGGCAUAAGUCUUUAGGGACUUGAAACCUCUCGAACAGCGACCAGUCUCUCGCCUUAUCAUGACAGUCAGUUUUAGCUUUCUCUACUAAGGUGCUUAGCCUAGCAGAACCGGGGCACAAUCGUAGUAGUUCUCCCAGUGCUACCUUAGCCGAUAUAGCAGAACGUAAGGUACCAAAACAUGGGAGCCGGGCAAACCCAACUAUUGACCCAAGACAUGAUUCGGAGCUGAUGCAUAUAAUGCUAUAAGUUCGGGGUGCCGCACUGUCGAAAGUGUUCGGACUUCUCAUGCCGUAUUAUGGGGUAUGCUUAAGACCCUGGCGUAUUGGCCGUACUAGAGUGUACGGGUGCUAGAUGUCAUGAAUGAACAUAUAUAUAUUCAAAGGAAGAAUGCAAUAAUAGUCUUGAUGCUAUGCAUUGUUUAUUCAAAAAGGUGCAUUAAAGCAGAAUGAUACAAGUAGUGCGAUAAGCACAAAGUAGGACUAUUUGACAUGUCCCUUCCAACGGCAAGCUGAGGAAUAGUAUUAAAGCAAGUAUUUUACUUGUUAUCGUAAUCCACCUGGGAGUUUCGUGGUGUGACGUAGCUUUCUGCCUCCUUGGUUGCUGCAUCAUGUGUUCGGCAAUCAUGUUGCCGGACAGGGUUUCCAGAGAUUAACGUCCUGAAAGAGAAAAAUAACAAAGCGGGAAGCCCCUAGUGUGGUUUAAGCCGCAUCUUGGAGCGUGUCGUAGUCGUGCCCCCCUUCCCACCUGUGCCCAUGGUAUUUUUAGUGCGUAAUUAUGUACGCGUGGCACGGACUUCACCGUUUGGCUGGGACCGGGGUGGGGGCCGUAUUGCUAUGCGAGCUCGGAACGUGUUAGGCGGUCCUGUUGCCGAUUACUCCGGGCGCGCUUGAAGGUGUCCGGGUCCUUAAUCGCUAAACUAGUGGAUUGCCUUAAGAGGCUGCUUUGUGCUUCUGCUGCGAGGGUCGCAGUGUGCUCCUCCGUGCAGAGAGAGCGCUCUAUGUUUCCAUUGACUGUGAUGACCCCCCGAGGUCCUGGCAUCUUGAGCUUGAGAUAUGCAUAAUGCGGUACCGCAUUGAAUCUCGCAAAUGCGGUUCACCCGAGCAGUGCAUGGUAGCCACUGCGGAACGGGACUAUGUCGAAGAUUAACUCUUCACUUCAGAAGUUAUCCGGAGAUCCGAAGACCACUUCCAGUGUGAUUGAGCCUGUGUAAUGGGCCUCUACACCUGGUAUGAUGCCUUUAAAGGUCGUAUUUGUGGGUUUGAUCCUUGAGGGGUCUAUACCCAUUUUGUGCACUGUGUCCUGAUAAAGCAGGUUCAGGCUGCUGCCGCCAUCCAUAAGGACUCAAGUGAGGUGAAAUCCGUCAAUGAUUGGGUCUAGGACCAAUGCGGCAAAUCCGCCAUGACGGAUACUAGUAGGGUGGUCCCUGCGGUCGAAGGUGAUCGGAUAGGAGGACCAUGGGUUGAACUUUGGGGCGACUGGCUCCAACACAUAUACGUCCCUGAGCGCACGCUUCCGCUCCCUCUUGGGGAUGUGGGUUGCGUAUAUCAUGUUCACCGUCCGCACUUGUGGGGGGAACCUCUUCUGUCCUCCGGUGUUCGGCUGUCGGGGCUCCUCCUCGUCAUUGCUAUGUGAUCCCUUAUCUUUGUUUUCGGCAUUUAACUUGCCGACCUGCUUGAACACCCAACAAUCCAUGUUGGUCUGGUUGGCUGGCUUGUCGGGGGUGCCGUGUAUUUGACACAAGCGGUCGAGUAUACGGUCCAAACUAGACGGGCCCGGAGUGCUUCUUUUGAAUGCCUUUUUCCGCUGACCAGGUUUAGAGCCUUUGAAUCCAGCAUUGACUGUCGUAUCCUCGUUAUUGUCACUGUUAAUGUGGUGCUUAUGUUUGUUGAGACGUGACAUGCCGUUGCUGUCCUUGGUAUCCAAAGUACCAUGGUUCUUUGAUAUGUUAUUUCUGCGAGCCAACCAGCUGUCCUCUCCCGCACAAAAGCGGGUCAUGAGUGUCAUGAGGGCUGCGAUAGAUUUCGGCUUUUCCUGGCCAAGGUGUCGGGCCAGCCAUUCGUCGCAGAUGUUGUGCUUGAAAGCUGUUAGGGCCUCUGCAUUCGGACAAUCGACGAUUUGAUUUUUCUUUGUUAGGAACCUUGUCCAGAAUUGCCUGGCCGAUUCCUCUAGCUGCUGAAUUAUGUGGCUCAAGUCAUCGGCAUCUGGUGGUCGCACAUAAGUGCCCUGAAAGUUGUCGAGGAAUGCGGCUUCCAGAUCUUCCCAACAGCCAAUGGACUCUGCUGGCAAGCUAUUGAGCCAAUGCCGAGCUGGUCCUUUGAGUUUGAGUGGGAGGUAUUUGAUGGCGUGUAGGUCAUCACCGCGGGCCAUGUGGAUGUGCAGGAGGAAAUCCUCGAUCCAUACCAUAGGAUCUGUUGUGCCGUCAUAUGAUUCUAUAUUUACGGGUUUGAAACCCUUUGGGAUUUGAUGAUCCAUUACUUCGUCUGUGAAGCAUAAGGGGUGUGCAGCCCCUCUAUACUGGGCUAUACCGCGACGCAGCUCAAAUGAGUCUUGCCCGCUGUGUUCGGCCCGGACGGACUUACUUUUACUGUAUCCGGCGUGACGAUUAUCGUCUCGCAUAGUGGCAGGCCCUCGUGAUCCGUAGAUUGAUCUUGCGUGUUUUGCUUUGUCCUCCAAUAUGUCUCGCAGGUCUGGCGUAUUUCCCCAUGCCUUUUUAUUUGAAUGGCGUUGGGGUGCGGGCUGAGCUUUUGGCUGGAAUGCCUCUCUGUCGCGGUCACGAGGUGGCCGAUCAGCCGCGUCGUACGCCGGGGAUGUAGGUUUCGGUGCUUCCUCCUCCAGUCGGGGUAGCAACAUGCACUUUGGGUAACUCUUGGAGGGGCGCUCGAGUUUAUAUUCCUCAGCCGCCAGGACUUCAGUCCAUCUGUCAGUUAGCAAAUCUUGAUCAGCUUAAAGCUACUGCUGCUUUUUCUUAAGGCUAUUUGCCGUGGCUAUAAGCCGGCGCUUGAAGCGCUCUUGUUCGACGGGAUCCUCUGGCACGACGAAUUCGUCAUCGUCGAGGCUUGCCUCGUCUUUGGAGGGAGGCAUGUAAUUAUCAUCCUCCGCCUCUCCAUCUGCCGCUCUCUCAGGAGGGCUGGCUUCUCCAUCCUCCUGCUCUAAAUCUUGCUAGAGGGGAUCGUUGUUGUCUUUGGCACUAUCAAGAGUGCUAUUAUCUCCGGUCCCGGUAUCACCGCUUUUAACUUGGCGGGACUUAGAGCGGCGCCGCUGACGCCGGCGCUUGGGUUGCUUCUUGGAGGGGUCAUCCUCCACUGUCCCGUCGCUAUUGCCUUCUUUGGGUGUGUCCACCAUGUAUAUGUCAUAUGAUGAGGUGGCUGUCCAGUGCCCUGUGGGUAGUGGUUCUUCUUCGCCUCCCGCAUCGUCGUCCAUACCAUCGAUGUCUUCGGAGUCGAAGUCGAGCAUGUCGGUUAAGUCAUCGACAGUGGCUACUAAGUGGGUGGUGGGUGGGCGGCGAAUUUCUUCGUCAUCUGCAUCCCAAUCCUGCCGAACAUAGUUCAGCCAGGACCCUCCUGACAAGGAGAGAGAGCUUAGUGAGUUCAUUAUGUCGCCGAAGGGCGAGUGCUGAAAAAUAUCCGCGGAGGUAAACUCCAUGAUCGGCGCCCAAUCGGAUUCGACAGGAACGGGCGCAGGCAGUUCGGAGUCCAUGGCCGGAGAAGGAUCCGACAGUUUGGCAACAUGGCUCUCGUGAAGGGUAAGGUCGAUAUUCGGCUCGAUCGUCGUUGAGGAUACGGCCUCCGUGGCGGGGUCUAUCCACCCGUCCAUGGAUAGUGCAACUGGCUCCGAAUUAAGGGUCAGAGCGGCUGCCAGUGCGAUUUCUUGAACACUGUCCGAUGGUAGAGCUAAGUCGUACUCAUCAUGACCGUGUGGCGCACAAGGCAGGGGUUCGAAUCCGUCGAAGAUCAAGUCUCCGCGGAUAUCGGCCGUGUAGUUUAACCUUCCAAACCUGACCUGGUGGCCAGGGGCGUAACUUUCGAUCUGCUCCAGAUGGCCAAGCGAGUUGGCCCGCAGUGCGAAGCCGCCGAACACAAAGAUCUGUCUGGGGAGAAAAGUCUCACCCUGGACUGCAUCGCUAUCGAUGAUCGUAGGAGCCAUCAAGCCUAAGAGUGACGACACAGAGGAACUCUCAAUGAAAGCACCAAUGUCGGUGUCAAAACCGGCGGAUCUCGGGUAGGGGGUCCCGAACUGUGCGUCUAAGGCGGAUGGUAACAGGAGGCAGGGGACACGAUGUUUUACCCUGGUUCGGGCCCUCUUGAUGGAGGUAAAACCCUACGUCCUGCUUGAUUUAUUCUUGAUGAUAUGAGUAUUACAAGAGUUGAUCUACGACGAGACCGGAGAGGCUAAACCCUAGAAGCUAGCCUAUGGUAUGAUUGUAUGUUGUCCUAUGGACUAAAACCCUCCGGUUUAUAUAGACACCGGAGGGGUCUAGGGUUAAACAAGGUCGGUUACAAAGGAGGAGAUAUCCAUAUCCGUACUGCCUAGCUUGCCUUCCACGCCAAGUAGAGUCCUAUCCGGACACGGGACGAAGUCUUCAAUCUUGUAUCUUCAUAGUCCAACAGUCCGGCCAAAGGAUAUAGUCCGGCUGUCCGAAGAGCCCCUAAUCCAGGACUCCCUCACCCGGUCUCCCAACUACCAUCAUGAGACCCAUAAAAUAGAAAACCUAUCAAGGGCAAACAUUUGCCUUGCACAUGGUCCACUUGAGCUAGAUGAUGACGAUCUUGACUCCCUCAAGUUGGACCACCUUUCUUGAUUGUGUUGACUCGAUGAAGACUAGUUGAUUGCUCCCCCAUACUCCACUAUGGGUGAGCCACUCUUCCGCACAUCUUCACAAGUCCAUUGUCACCACAAAGGAUGGCAAGCUUCAAGCAUUUGAUCUCUUCGUGAUGCUCCACUUGAACUUGCACACCGCAACCUUUCUUGAGUGUUAACUCGAUGAAGACUAGUUGAUUGCUCCCCCAUACUCCACUAUGGGUGAGCCACUCUUCCGCACAUCUUCACAAGUCCAUUGUCACCACAAAGGACGACAAGCUUCAAGCAUUUGAUCUCUUCGUGAUGGUCCACUUGAACUUGCACACCGCAACCUAACCCCACAAAGAACCCUCACGAAGACCAUGGGUUAGUACACAAAGCGUAAUUGAUAAUGCUUACCAUACCAUGGGAUCACUUGAUCCCUCUCGGUACAUCUUCUACACUUUGUGGGUUAAUCAACUUGAUUCACUCUUUGACUUAGUCUUGAUCAACCUCACACAAGACCAAUCUUUAGGUAAUUCCUUGAAUAGCACCUUGGUCGACACAAACUCUCCUUGAAACCAACACAUGUACUCCAAGAAAAGCCUAUGGACAAAACCUUCAAAUAUAACUCAAGGCAACCAUUAGUCCAUAGAGAUUGUCAUCAAUUACCAAAACCAAACAUGGGGGCACCGCAUGUUCUUUCAGCCAGCCCCCAGACCAGCCAGCAUUUUAGAGCCGUUGAAGUGCAUGAUCCAAUUGGAGUAUGUGACGUAUUCUUUAGGGAGUUCGGCUUUCGUCCAUUCGGUGACGAAAUAGACCAAUACUUGCGACUUAAUGGCUCGCCGUGGUUUGUAUGUUAUGUCGAACGGGAGGAGCUCGAUGGCCCAUUUGGCAAUCCGGCCCGUGGCAUCGUGGUUGUUUAUUAUGUCAUUGAGUGGUACUUCAUAGGCCACCGUGAUUGAACACUCUUGAAAGUAGUGUCAUAAUUUCCGGGAUGCCAUGAAUACCGCGUAUGCUAUCUUUUGAUAAUGUGGGUACCGUGAUUUGCAUGGAGUGAGGAUGGUGGAUACAUAAUAUACCGGUUUUUGAAGCGGGAAUUUAUGUCCGUCCAUCUCUCAUUCCACGACGAGCACUGCGCUUACAACUUGGUGAGUUGCUGCUAUAUAUAAUAGCAUUGGUUCGCCAACAGUUGGCGCGGCCAAGAUUGGGUUGGUGGCCAGGAUGCCUUUUAUCUCUUCCAAUCCGGCCGUGGUUGCGUCCGUCCACUCGAAGUGUUCGGUACGCCGAAGAAGGUGAUAGAGGGGAAGUUCCUUUUCUCCUAAUCGGGAGAUAAAGCGGCUUAAAGCCGCCACACAUCCAGUUAAUUUUUGGAUUUGUUUGAGGUCAGUUGGGAUAGCCGACUGAGACAGGGCUCGGAUUUUAGCUGGAUUUGCUUCAAUUCCUCUACUGGAGACGAUGAAGCCCGGGAGCUUUCCGGCGGGAACACCAAAAAUGCAUUUUUCCGGAUUGAGCUUAAUGUCGUAUGUUCGGAGAUUGGUGAACGUGAGCCUCAAGUCGUCUAUUACAGAGUUGACGUGUCUGGUUUUGAUGACCACAUCGUCUACAUAUGCCUCCACAGUCUUACCGAUCUACUUUUCCAGACACGUCUGGAUCAUGCGCUGAUAUGUUGCGCCGGUGUUUUUGAGCCCGAAGGGCAUUGUGUUAAAAUAGAAGGGGUCAUAUGGCGUGAUAAAUGUCGUUGCGGCUUGAUCAGACUCCGCCAUCUUAAUUUGGUGGUAGCCGGAGUAUGCGUCGAGGAAGCACAAUGAUUCGUGUCAUGCGGUAGCGUUGAUGAUUUGAUCGAUGCGAGGGAGUGGAAAGGGAUCCUUUGGGCAAGCCUUAUUAAGGUCUUUGAAGUCGACCCAUAGGCACCAGGAUUUGUCCUUCUUUGGUACCAUCACCAGGUUUGCUAGCCAGUCCGGAUGUUUUAUUUCUCUAAUGAAUCCGGCCACCAGUAGCUUGGCUAGCUCUUCUCCCAUGGCUUGUCGCUUAGGUUCAGAGAAACGCCGAAGAGUCUGCUUGACCGGCUUGAAUCCUUUUAGCACAUUAAGGCUAUGCUCGGCCAAUCUGCAUGGGAUUCCUAGCAUGUUUGAAGGAUGUCAGGCGAAUAUGUCCCCAUUCUCGCGCAGAAACUCCCGUAGUGCGGCGUCUACAGCGGGGUUUAACUGUGCCCCGAUGGAUGCUGUUUUUGUGGGGUCCGUUGGAUGGACAUGGAAUUUGACUAUUUCAUCUGCUGGUUUAAAGGAGGUGGACUUGGAUCUUUUGUCUAGUAUCACGUCGUCCCUGUCCACCAUGGAGCGUAGCGCGGUUAACUCCUCCGCCACAAGGGCUUCGGAUAAUGCCUCGAGGGCUAGUGCGGCUGUUUUGUUCUCGGCGCGGAGUGUUAUGUCCGGAUCACUAGCUAGAGUGAUGAUUCCAUUGGGUCCGGGCAUUUUGAGCUUCAUGUACCCGUAAUGGGGUAUGGCUUGAAAAAUCGUGAAUGCCUCCCGCCCUAGAAGGGUGUGGUAUCCGCUACUGAACGGGGCCGCUUGGAAUGUAAUUUCUUCGGACCUGUAAUUCUCCGGAGUGCCGAAUACCACAUCAAGCAUGAUUUUCCCAGCGCAACGUACCUCCUGACUAGGGAUGAUUCCUCGGAAGGUCGUACUGCUUUGCUCAAUACGGUUGCUGUCUAUUUCCAUUUUUUGGAGAGUUUCCUCAUAAAUGAGGUUUAGUCCGCUGCCGCCGUCCAUGAGCACCUUAGUGAGCCGAAAGCCGUCCACAAUUGGACUGAGGACCAAAGCGGCUGGUGCUUGGGCUGUUGGGAAUUUAGGUUCGUCACUGGCAUUGAAGGUGAUAGUCGUGUCGCUCCAUGGAUUUAUUGCUGCCAUGUGGCAGACUUCGGCAAGGCUGCGGAGUGCUUGCUUAGGCCUAUUAUUGGAGGCGAAGGUCUUGAAGACUGUUAAUACUGUAUUGUUAUCCGUGGGAAGGUGCUCUGAGGUAUUUUGGGUGAGGAGAUCCUCACCGCUUUUGGCCACCUGCCGGAGUACCCAACAUGCUCUAAGGCUGUGUGUUGAUAUGGUAUCCGCUGUACUAUGGAUUUUGCAGGGUCCGUUAAGCCAUCCCUCCAAUACGGUUCCACGCCCUGUAGUGGGCUUUUGCUUCUUUGUAAUUGAGUCGGGCGACUUACGAGAGUGCACCCUUUUAGUUCAGACUAGGGGUUUUGUCAGAGCCGGAUUAUCCCAAAAUUGCGUUUGGGUUUUCUAGGCACUUUCCAUCGCACAAUAUUUUCAUACUAUGGCCUCCAAGUCAGCGAAGUGUACUAUCUCACGGCGACUUAUGGCGUUGAGGACUCCCUUGUCCAUCCAAUUGUUGCAAAAGAAUGAAAUUGCGUCUUCCUCGUGAUAGUCCUUGACCUUGUUCAUUACAAGGAGGAAUCUGGCCCAAUAGUGAUGUACUGUCUCUUGGGGCGCUUGCCUAAUGUGGGAAAGAUCGUUUGUAUCUGGGUGGGUGGGUGGAUUUAAGUCCAGACCUUGACCCAAUCUGUGAUCCCGGGGCAGGGGAGUUUCCAAUCUUGGAAGUUCAGGCUCCGGGAUGUUGCCCUGCGGGUUCGGUAUGCGGCCUGAUUCUAGAUUCAGGGUUAGGGCGGGGUCCUCCCGUGAGCGAGUAUCCGGCUCGGGGAGCUCGGGAAUCCAGACAUAGUUCGUCCUCGGGAUAGAGGGAGAAUCGCCGCAUUGCUCCUCCACCACCGCUAUCUGAUGAGUGGCCGGCGGAGAAUUAAUCUCCCUUUGGUCGGGUUUAAGCCCGAUCCGAUCGUAGUCCGUAGUGACUCCCAGAGCGGCGAUGCGAUCUAAGAGCUCGUUCAAAGAGGAGAGCUCCAUUGGAUCCAUCUGCUCGGCAAAUUUUGAGCCGAUGUGGAGGCUAUUUUUGAUGGCCCGAUAAUUCAUCGUCGGCGUCGCGGCUGAGUGGGCGGUCAUGAAGAAGCCGCCUAGUCGGAGAGUUUGGCCUACAGCCAGGGCUCCCCCAGUGGUGAUGUUGUCCUUGACAACGAGGCGAGCCAUCCUCCUUAUGAUGACGACAAAGUGGAACUCUCAAUGAAAGCACCAAUGUCGGUGUCAAAACCGGUGGAUCUCGGGUAGGGUGUCCCGAACUGUGCGUCUAAGGCGGAUGGUAACAGGAGGCAAGGGACACGAUGUUUACCCAGGUUCGGGCCCUCCUGAUGGAGGUAAUACCCUACGUCCUGCUUGAUUGUUCUUGAUGAUAUGAGUAUUACAAGAGUUGAUCUACCACGAGAUCAAGGAGGCUAAACCCUAGAAGCUAGCCUAUGGUAUGAUUGUUUGUUGUCCUAUGGACUAAAACCGUAUGAUUUAUAUAGACACCGGAGGGGGCUAGGGUUACACAAGGUCGGUUACAAAGGAGGAGAUAUACAUAUCCGUAUUGCCUAGCUUGCCUUCCACGCCAAGUAGAGUCCCAUCCGGACAUGAGACGAAGUCUUCAAUCUUGUAUCUUCAUAGUCCAAUAGUCCGGCCAAAGGAUAUAGUCCGGCUGUCCGGAGACCCCCUAAUCCAGGACUCCCUCAGGGCCCCUCAAGAGGUGAGCGCCAGCCGCAGCGCUGGCGCGUGCUUGACGAGCGUGCGCUUUGCGCGGUCUGGCUCGUGAGGAGCUUGCGAGGGAAAGGCGAUGGACAUGAGUCCCAAACCAAAUGAGAUCCAGAAGGCGAGAAAUGGCUCGAACGAGAAAAGGCACCCCCCCCUGCGCGCAUCGAUAAAAAUUCAGCUUCAACUUAAAUCCACAUCUAGAAAGCAAAGCCACAGAAAGAGAGAUCCAAAGCAAAAGGCUGUGUCCGACACCUAGUCUAGUCUUCAGGUCUUCAAGUCUUCUCACCAGCGCAGAGCUAAGUGCUGCCACUAGGCAUGGGAGGGAGCCCCAGGGCCUGAGGCCGGCGCUCCUGAGACUCCGGGGCGUGUACAGCCCCAACUCAUUAUUACGUGAGAGUGUUACGGGCGGUGAGCUUCACAAGCACUGGGCCUUCUUCAUAGGUACUGGCCUUGCUUCAUAUCGCUAGAUGAGGGCCCCACCUUGCGCCACCCUCGACCUCCUUUGAGCCGACUGGUCACCAGGAUGACACAAAAGAGGGAAAGGGGACGCCAGCGGUUCCCUCGGCGACCACGGGUCCUCUACCGGGGGAAGGGUCAUCAAAGCCUCCCCAACAGAGGACCUACCUUCGGGUGUCCCUUGGUUUCGUGCGCCUUGGGGAGGCGCCUGGCUCCCGGCCCCUCUCCUGUAGCCCCCAACGCGAUCCUCCCGCUGCCAGGGGGCCGUCGAGCUGGGGCCGCCUGCCGCUGCGGUGACCUGCUCCUCCUGCGACUCAUGGUUAGCGUAAGCUUGCUCCUGAGGGAUUAGGGGUACCCUAUAGUGGUCGUCGCACACGCGGUAGUGGUGGUUCCCCGGCAGCUCCUGGAAGGCUUUGACUCCUAGCGUCCCUUCUUCCCAAUCUUCUCCAACGAACGAGCCGGGUCGUCCUCCGGCAUGUACUCCUGGUCCGUCAUGCGCGGCACAUAGGCUUCUGGGGCUGUUACCCCAAACACCUCACCGUGGUGCCCCACACUCCAUGUCGCUCGGCACGGCGUGACGUCUUGGGGGUGAUAGAGUGGCAUCCCACUUGGGCCAUGGAAGGCGACGCUUGUGCCCAUGCUUGUUGCAGGCAGUACGGGGGUGGUAGAGCCCCUGGCACCGCCGACCAUGCUGGUGUUGAUGAAGCCCCAUGGCGCGCCUGACGGUGCGUGGUGGUGGCGUGGCCCGCCGAGAAUCCCCGUAGCGGCCUGAGGAGGAAGCUGAUGGCAGAAGGGCGGGGCACCCGAGGCCGCCGCGUCCAGCAACUCGGCGAUGCGUUCCAGCAGUGUGUCUCGGCCACUUUCCAUCAGCAGGCACCGCAGCAGCUCCCUUGCCACGGUGAGUGCUGCCCGCGUGUUUGCUUGUUCCCACCGUGAGUGCGGCGCUGUCGUUGCGGCGUGGCUUGCUACUCUGGCAGCAGCCCACACUUGUCGUGGAGUGAGGGUACAUGAUGCCCCGCCGCGUCACCCGCGCCCCGCCGGAUUGGGCGGUGCUCGUGCUGCCUGGAACGCGGGGUUGAGGUCUUCAUAAGCGGGCGGUGCCGACCGGGCUGGCCAGGCUGCCUAGCGGUCGGAGUCAGCUCGUGGGUCAUCGAACAUCGCGGCCGCGGAGCGUCUGCAAGUCGAUUGUCAGAGAAGAAGCUCCAGCGCACCCCUAACUGGCACGCCAAAUGUCGGAUGUGGGGUUCCGGGAAACCCUUAAGGUUCGAACACUAGGGUGCACACGAAGUCUUUUCCUCCCACCGAUCUACGCCCUAACUCACUAAGAUCUCGCAGACGAACUCGACGCACUCGCAAUACAGAAAGACACAAGAUUUAUACUAGUUCGGGCCACCGUUGUGGUGUAAUACCCUACUCCAGUGUGGUGGUGGAUUGCCUCUUGGGCUGAUGAUGAACAAUACAAGGGGAAGAACAACCUCCUGAGGUUGAGGUGUUCUUGUGCUUGGCUAACUUGUGUGGGUAAGAGUGGACUGAAUCCGUCCUCCUUCUCUCCCCACUCUCUCUAUCUCUCUCUCUCUGUAUCUCUCUCGUCCCCCUUUUUGUCCCCCUCUAUGGUGGUGGCUAACUCUAUUUAUGUAGGCCCUGGUCCUCUUCCCAAAUAUUGAGCGGGAAGGGAGCCAACGAUGGCGGGCAAAUUUGAAGGGGGACAGCUAGUACAAGCCAUCCUGACAAAAGGUGGUCUCCGCCUGCGAAAGGCUCUGGUGGUGACGUCGUAUUGGGCUCCAUGAUGACCCCCGUCUUGUCGUCCUUCUUGUCUUGGUCUUGUUGCACCAAAAUGGCAACCUUUGCUUGAUGCCUCAGUACUCCUCUCCUGCGCUGGUUUCCUUAGCACCAAAGAGUAAACAAUGACACUGCGCGCGCUGGCGCCCGCCUGGUGUCGAUCGUCAUGGCUCACAUCACGAGAGCCUCAUGAGGUUUGCCUCGCCUUGACAUCUCUGCUCCUCGUGAGCCUGCCCGACUAGGCCACUCCAGAGGAGGUCUUGUGUCGUCCACCUCGUGAAGCUUGGCCCCUCGCGAGGGUCUUGGAUGCCUUGUUGAUGAAGAUGGGUUGUACGGCCUGCUGGCUUAGCCACGCCAUGGGCCACAGGCAGGCAAGCCUGGGAACCCCCGUUCCCAGGACGCCGACAGCUUAUGUGUGAUAGAGCGUAUCAUAUCACGGGGUUUGGAUGCACCGGCGAAGUUUGCACCAACUCUCAAGGUGAGAAAGGGCAAUGCACGGUACUGAAGAGGCUAGCAAUGAUGGAAGGUGAGAGUGCGUACAAUCCAUGGACUCAACAUUAGUCAUAAAGAACUCACAUACUUAUUGCAAAAAUCUACAAGUCAUCAAAAACCAAGCAUUACGUGCAUGCUCCUAGGGGGUAGAUUGGUAGGAAAAGACCAUCGCUCGUCCCCGACCGCCACUCAUAAGGAAGACAAUCAAAGAACACCUCAUGUUUCAAAUUUGUUACACAACGGUUACCAUACGUGCAUGCUACGGGACUUGCAAUCUUUAACACAAGUAUUUCUCAAAUUCACAACUACUCAACUAGCACACUCUAAUAUCACCAUCUUUAUAUCUCAAAACAAUUAUCAAGUAUCAAACUUCUCAUAGUAUUCAAUGCACUUUCUAUGAUAGUUUUUAUUAUACCCAUCUUGGAUGCCUAUCAUAUUAGGACUAAUUUCAUAACCAAAGCAAAUUACCAUGCUGUUCUAAAGGACUCUCAAAAUAAUAUAAGUGAAGCAUGAGAGAUCCACAAUUUCUAUAAAAUAAAACCACCACCGUGCUCUAAAAGAUAUAAGUGAAGCACUAGAGCAAAAUUAUCUAGCUCAAAAGAUAUAAGUGAAGCACAUAGAGUAUUCUAAUAAAUUCCAAUUCAUGUGUGUCUCUCCCAAAAGGUGUGUACAGCAAGGAUGACUGUGGUAAACUAAAAAGCAAAGACUCAAAUCAUACAAGACGCUCCAAGCAAAACACAUAUCAUGUGGUGAAUAAAAAUAUAGCCUCAAGUAAAGUUACCGAUGGAAGAAGACGAAAGAGGGGAUGCCUUCUGGGGCAUCACCAAGCUUAGGCUUUUGGUUGCCCUUGAAUUUUACCUUGGGGUGCCUUGGGCAUCCACAAUCUUAGGCUCUUUCCACUCCUUAUUCCAUAAUCCAUCAAAUCUUUACCCAAAACUUGAAAACUUCACAACACAAAACUCAACAGAAAAUCUCAUGAGCUCCGUUAGUAUAAGAAAACAAACCACCACUUAAUGUACUAUAAUGAACUCAUUCUUUAUUUAUAUUGGUGUUAAACCUACUGUAUUCCAACUUCUCUAUGGUUCAUACCCUCCGAUACUAUCCAUAGAGGCAUCAAAAUAAGCAAACAACACACGAAAAACAGAACCUCUCAAAAACAGAACAGUCUAUAGUGAUUUGUAGGUUUCGUAUACUUAUGUAACCCCAAAAAUUCUGAAAUAAAUUGGUGGACGUGAGGAAUUUGUCUAUUAAUCAUAUGCAAAAAGAAUCAACCUAAUUGCACUCUCCAAUAAAAAUGGGAGCAAAUCUCAUGUGCGCUAAAGUUUCUGUUUUUUAUAGCAAGAUCGCUAAAACUUCCCCCAAGUCUUCCCAAAGGUUCUACUUGGCACAAACACUAAUUAAAAGAAUAAAACCACAUCUAAACAGAGUUUAGAUGAAUUAUUUAUUACUAAACAGAACCAAAAGCAAGAAACAAAAAUAAAAUUGGGUUGCCUCCCAACAAGCGCUAUCGUUCAACGCCCUAGCUAGGCAUAAAAGCAAGAAUAGAUCUAGGUAUUGUCAUCUUUGGUUUUAAUUUUUUUAGCGGAGUCAUGCUCGAAUCUGGGAGGUUCUUUAUGUUUCCCUUCAUAUUCAGAAAUUUUUAGAUCUAAGGAAUCCAACCAUUUAUUGCAAAGGGUAAUUAACAUAUUCAUGUGGUGAAGGUUUCCGCUAACACUCUUAAGAGGUUCAAGAGACUUUUGUAAAAAAUUCGUAACUUCGCAAAUCUUUUCAAAAACUUGUGUCUCUUCCUGGGUAUGAUGUGACCCCUUUUGUUGAGGUAGUGCUCCCACUAUUCCCUCUAUGAUUUCAUGAGCAAUACUAGGAUCAAUUUCGAUAAAAUUCCCUUUGGCAACGCAAUCCAAGAGUUGUCUAUGCGACAUAUUUAGCCCAACAUAAAAACUGCGAAGUAAAAUUCUAAAAUUCACGUCUAGGGUGCAAUUACGAUAAUAUUCCAUCAUCCUAAAACAAGCAUCUUUUAAAUUUUAUCCUUGUCUUUGUUUGAAGUGAAGAACUUCAAACUCGCGAGACAAAGGGGGAGAUAAGGGACUAGCCAUGACGACACACGGCGACACAAGAAUCAAGCGAAAAAGAGGCGAACGUAAAAGAGGGUGAAUAAAAUGGCAAGGGUGAAGUGGGGAGAGGAAAAUGAGAGGCAAAUGGAAAAUAAUGUGAUGCGAGGGAUAAGAGUUUGUGAUGGGUACUUGGUAUGUCUUGACUUGUGAGUAGAUCUCCUCGGCAACGGCGCCAGAAAUGGCUUAUUGACGGGAGAUCAAAUCUUGACUUGACUUGGUGCAACCUCCCCGGCAACGGCGCCAGAAAUCCUUCUAGCUACCUCUUGAGCACUGCGUUGGUUUUCCCUUGAAGAGGAAAGGGUGAUGCAGCAAAGUAGCAUAAGUAUUUCCCUCAAUUUUUGAGAACCAAGGUAUCAAUCCAGUAGGAGACUACACGCAAGUCCCUCGUACCUACACAAACAAAUAAGAACCUCGCAACCAACGCGAUAAAGGGGUUGUCAGGCCCUUCACUGUCACUUAUGAGAGUGAGAUCUGAUAGAGAUAAUAAUAAUAAGAUAAAUAUUUUUGGUAUUUUAUGAUAUAGAAUGAAAGUAAAGAUUGCGAAAUAAAAUAGAUUGGAAAGUUAUAUGAUAAAAGAUAGACCCGGGGGCCAUAGGUUUCACUAGUGGCUUCUCUCAAGAUACCAUAAGUAUUACGGUGGGUGAACAAAUUACUGUCGAGCAAUUGAUAGAAAAGUGCAUAAUUAUGAGAAUAUCUAGGCAUGAUCAUGUAUAUAGGCAUCACAUCUGCGACAAGUAGACCGAAACGAUUCUGCAUCUACUACUAUUACUCCACACAUCGACCGCUAUCCAGCAUGCAUCUAGAGUAUUAAGUUCAUAAGAACAGAGUAACGCAUUAGGCAAGAUGACAUGUGAUACGUCCAUUUUGCAUCAUGCUUUUAUAUCGAUAUUUAUUGCAUUAUGGGUUGUUAUUACACAUUAUGUCACAAUACUUGUGCCUAUUCUCUCUUAUUUUACAAGGUUUACAUAAAGAGGGAGAAUGCCGGCAGCUGGGAUUCUGGGCUAGAAAAGGAGCUAAUAUUAGAGGCCUAUUCUGCACAGCUCCAAAAGUCCAAAAACUUCACGGAAGCUAUUUCCAGAAUAUAUAAAAAAUACUGAGUGCAAGAAGUUCCAGAGGGGGCCACACCCUGGCCACGAGGGUGGGGGCGCGCCCUACCCCCUGGGCGCGCCCCUGCCUCAUGGGCCCCCUGGUGGCUCUCCGAUUCCCAUCUUCUGCUAUAUGGAGUCUUUCAUUGAGGAAAAAAAUCAUAAGCAAGCUUUCGGGAUGAGACUCCGCCGCCACGAGGCGGAACCUUGGCGGAACCAAUCUAGGGCUCUGGAGGAGCUGUUUUGCCAGGGAAACUUCCCUCCGGGAGGGGGAAAUCAUCACCAUUGUCAUCACCAACAAUCCUCUCAUCGGGAGGGGGUCAAUCUCCAUCAACAUCUUCACCAGCACCAUCUCAUCUCAAACCCUAGUUCAUCUCUUGUAUCCAAUCUUUGUAUCCAAACCUCAGAUUGGUACCUGUGGGUUGCUAGUAGUGUUGAUUACUCCUUGUAGUUGAUGCUAGUUGGUUUACUUGGUGGAAGAUCAUAUGUUCGGAUCCAUUAUGCAUAUUAAUACCCCCCUGAUUAUGAACAUGAAUAUGUUUUGUGAGUAGUUACGUCUGUUCCUGAGGACAUGGGAGAAGUCUUGCUAUUAGUAGUCAUGUUAAUUUGGUAUUCGUUCGAUAUUUUGAUAAGAUGUAUGUUGUCAUCCCUCUAUAGUGGUGCCAUGUGAACGUCGACUACAUGACACUUCACCAUUGUUUGGGCCUAGAGGGAGGAAUUGGGAAGUAAUAAGUAGAUGAUGGGUUGCUAGAGUGACAGAAGCUUAAACCCUAGUUUAUGUGUUGCUUCAUAAGGGGCUGAUUUGGAUCCAUAUGUUUCAUGCUAUGGUUAGGUUUACCUUAAUACUUUUGUUGUAGUUACAGAUGCUUGCAAUAGGAGUUAAUCAUAAGUGGGAUGCUUGUCCAAGUAAGGACAGUACCCAAGCACCGGUCCACCCACAUAUCAAAUUAUCAAAGUACCGAACGCGAAUCCUACGAACGUGAUGAAAACUAGCUUGACGAUAAUUCCCAUGUGUCCUCGGGAGUGCUUUCCUUCAUAUAAGAGUUUGUCCAGGCUUGUCCUUUGCUACAAAAAGGAUUGGUCCAUCUUGGUGCACCUUAUUUAUUUUUAUUACUUGCUACUCGUUACAAAUUACCUUAUCACAAAACUAUCUGUUACCUAUAAUUUCAGUGCUUGCAGAGAAUACCUUACUGAAAACUGCUUAUCAUUUCCUUCUGCUCCUCGUUGGGUUCGACACUCUUAUUUAUUGAAAAGGCUACGGUAGAUCCCCUACACUUGUGGGUCAUCAAGACUCUUUUCUGGCGUCAUUGCCGAGGAGUGAAGCGCCUUUGGUAGGUGGAAUUUGGUAAGGAAAAUUUUAUAUAGUGUGCUGAAAUUUACUGUCACUUGUUGAGGGGCUUGUUCGGGGUAUCUUCACCCCGACCGGUAGAGCAAAUAGUUGCUACUCAACCUACUAAACCUACUGAAAAUGUUUACUUUGAAAUUCCUUCAGGUAUCAUAGAGAAACUGCUAGCUAAUCCUUUUGCAGGAGAUGGAACAUUGCAUCCCGACUUACACUUAAUCUAUGUGGAUGAAGUUUGUGGAUUAUUUAAGCUUGCAGGUAUGCCCAAUGAUGUUAUCAAGAAGAAGGUAUUCCCUUUAUCUUUGAAGGGAGAUGCAUUGACAUGGUAUAGGCUGUGUGAUGAUGUGGGAUCAUGGGACUACAAGCGAUUGAAAUUGGAAUUCCAUCAGAGGUUUUAUCCUAUGCAUCUCGUUCAUCGUGAUCGUAAUUAUAUAUUUAUUUUUUUGGCCUCGCGAAGGAGAAAGCAUCUCUCAAGCUUGGGGGAGGCUUAAGUCAAUGUUAUAUUCAUGCCCCAAUCAUGAGCUCUCAAGAGAAAUUAUUAUUAAAAAAUUUAUGCUCGGCUUUCUGACAACAAUCGCUCCAUGCUCGAUACUUCUUGUAUUGGUUCCUUUAUGAUGAAGACUAUUGAAUUCAAAUGGAAUUUAUUGGAGAGAAUUAAACGCAACUCUGAAGAUUGGGAUCUCGACAAAGGUAAGGAGUCAGGUAUAAAACCUAAGUUUGAUUGUGUUAAAUCUUUUAUGGAUACCGAUGUUUUCCGUAAAUUUAGCACUAAAUAUGGACUUGACUCUGAGAUAGUGGCUUCUUUCAGUGAAUCUUUUGCUACUCAUGUUGAUCUCCCCAAGGAGAAGUGGUUUAAAUAUAAUCCUCCCAUUGAAACAAAAGUAGUUGCACCUAUUAAAGUUGAAGAAAAGACUAUCACUUAUGAUGAUCCUAUUGUUCCUACUGCUUAUGUUGAGAAACCACCUUUCCCUGUUAGAAUAAAGAAUCAUGCUAAAGCUUCAACUGUGGUCAACAAAAGUAAUAUUAAGACACCUAAACCCCCUGAGCAAAUUAAAGUUGAACCUAAAAUUGCUAUGGUUAAAGAUCUCUUGGCCGAUAAUAUUGAUGGGCAUGUUAUUUACUUCUGUGAUGAAGCUGCUAGAAUUGCUAGACCUGAUACUAAAAAUAAACAUAGACCUGUAGUAGGCAUGCCUGUUAUUUCUGUUAAAAUAGGAGAUCAUUGUUAUCAUGGCUUAUGUGAUAUGGGUGCUAGUGCUAAUGCAAUACCUAUUUCCUUAUACAAAUAAAUUAUGCAUGAUAUUGCACCAACUGAGAUAGAAGGUAUUGAUGUUACCAUUAAGCUUGCCAAUAGAGAUACUAUUUCACCAGUUGGGAUUGUUAGAGAUGUUGAAGUCUUGUGUGGGAAGGUUAAAUAUCCUGCUGAUUUUCUAGUUCUUGGUUCCCCACAAGAUAGCUUUUGUCCCUUUAUAUUUGGUAGACCCUUCUUGAAUACUGUUAAUGCUAACAUAGACAGCAAUAAAGAUAUUGUUUCUGUUGGUUUAGGGGAUAUGUCUCAUGAGUUUAAUUUUGCUAAAUUUCGUAGACAACCCCAUGAUAAAGAAUUACCUAGUAAAGAUGAAAUUAUUGGUCUUACUUCUAUUGCCAUGCCUCCUACUGAUCCCUUAGAACAAUAUUUGCUAGACCAUGAAAAUGAUAUGUUCAUGAAUGAAAGAAGGGAAAUAGAUGAAGUAUUCUUUAAACAGGGACCUAUUUUGAAACACAACUUGCCUGUUGAAAUCCUAGGGGAUCCUCCUCCACCCAAGGGUGAUCCCGUGUUUGAGCUUAAACCAUUACCUGAUACUCUUAAAUAUGCUUAUCUUGAUGAAAAGAAAAUAUAUCCUGUUAUUAUUAGUGCUAACCUUUCAGAGAAGAAGGAAGAGAAAUUAUUGAAAACUCUGAAGAAGCAUCGUGCCGCUAUUGGAUAUACUCUUGAUGAUCUUAAGGGCAUUAGUCCCACUCUAUGUCAACACAAAAUAAAUUUGGAGGAAGAUGCCAAACCAGUUAUUGAUCACCAACGACGACUGAAUCCUAAGAUGAAAGAAGUGGUAAGAAAGGAAAUAUUAAAGCUCCUUGAGGCAGGUAUAAUUUAUCGCGUUGCUGAUAGUCAGUGGGUAAGUCUUGUCCAUUGUAUCCCCAAGAAGGGAAGUAUUACUGUUGUUCCUAAUGAUAAAGAUGAAUUGAUCCCGCAAAGAAUUAUUACAGGUUAUAGGAUGGUAAUUGAUUUCUAGAAAUUAAAUAAGGCUACUAAAAAAGAUCAUUAACCUUUGCCUUUUAUUAAUCAAAUGCUAGAAAGAUUAUCCAAAGAUACACAUGUUUGCUUUCUAGAUGGUUACUCUGGCUUCUCUCAAAUACCUGUGUCAGCUGAUGAUCAAUCAAAGACCACUUUUACUUGCCCUUUCGGUACUUUUGCUUAUAGACGUAUGCCUUUUGGUUUAUGUAAUGCACCUGCUACCUUUCAAAGAUGCAUGAUGGCUAUAUUCUCUGACUUUUGUGAAAAGAUUUGUGAGGUGUUCAUGGAUGAUUUGUCCGUUUAUGGAUCCUCUUUUAAUGAUUGCUUGAGCAACCUUGAUCGAGUUUUGCAGAGAUGUGAAGAAACUAAUCUUGUCUUGAGUUGGGAGAAGUAACACUUUAUGGUUAAUGAAGGUAUUGUCUUGGGGCAUAAAAUUCUGAAAGAGGUAUUGAAUUUGACAAAGUUAAAGUUGAUGCUGUUGAAAAUAUGCCAUGUCCCAAGGACAUUAAAGGUAUAAGAAGCUUCCUCGGUCACGCUGGUUUUUAUGGGAGGUUCAUUAAGGACUUCUCAAAAAUUUCUCGGCCGCUGUCUAACCUAUUGCAAAAAGAUAUUCCUUUUGUCUUUGAUGAUGAUUAUGUAGAAGCAUUUGAAAUACUUAAGAAAGCAUUGAUUUCUGCACCUAUUGUUCAGCCACUUGAUUGGAAUUUACCCUUUGAAAUUAUGUGUGAUGCUAGUGAUUAUGCUGUAGGGGUUGUUCUAGGGCAAAGAGUUGAUAAGAAAUUAAAUGUCAUUCAAUAUGCUAGUAAAACUCUAGACAAUGCCCAGAGAAAUUAUGCUACCACUGAAAAGGAAUUCUUAGCAGUUGUAUUUGCUUGUGGUAAGUUCAGACCUUAUAUUGUUGAUUCUAAAGUAACUAUUCACACUGAUCAUGCUGCUAUUAAAUAUCUUAUGGAAAAUAAAGAUGUUAAACCUAGACUUAUUAGAUGGGUUCUCUUGCUACAAGAAUUUGAUUUGCAUAUUAUUGAUAGAAAGGGAGCUGAGAACCCCGUUGCAUACAACUUGUCUAGGUUAGAAAAUGUUCUUGAUGACCCACUACCUAUUGAUGAUAGCUUUCCUGAUGAACAAUUAAAUGUUAUAAAUGCUUCUCGUACAGCUCCAUGGUAUGUUGAUUAUGCUAAUUAUAUUGUUGCUAAAUUUAUACCACCUAGUUUCACAUACCAGCAAAAGAAAAAAGUUCUACUAUGAUUUGAGACAUUACUUUUGGGAUGACCCACAUCUUUAUAAAGAAGGAGUGGAUGGUAUUAUUAGACAUUGUGUACCUGAGCAUGAACAGGAACAUAUCCUACGCAAGUGUCACUCCAAAGCCUAUGGAGGACACCAUGCUGGAGAUAGAACUGCACUCUUCAAGGAUGCCCGUAAGUUUGUCUUGUCUUAUGAUGAAUGUCAAAGAAUUGGUAAUAUUAGUAGACGUCAAGAAAUGCCUAUGAAUUAUUCACUUGUUAUUGAACCAUUUGGUGUUUGGGGCUUUAAUUAUAUGGGACCCUUUCCUUCCUCUAAUGGGUAGACACAUAUUUUAGUUGCCGUUGAUUACGUUACUAAGUGGGUAGAAGCCAUUCCAACUAGUAGUGCUAAUCAUAACACCUCUAUUAAGAUGCUUAAAGAAGUUAUUUUCCCGAGGUUUGGAGUCCAUAGAUAUUUAAUGACUAAUGGUGGUUCACAUUUUAUUCAUGGUGCCUUUCGUAAAAUGCUUGCUAAGUAUGAUGUUAAUCAUAGAAUUGUGUCCCCUUAUCACCCACAGUCUAGUGGUCAAGUAGAAUUGAGUAAUAGAGAGCUCAAAUUAAUUUUGCAAAAGACUGUUAACAAAUCUAGAAAGAAUUGGUCCAAGAAACUUGAUGAUGCAUUAUGGGCCUAUAGAACUGCAUAUAAAAAUCCUAUGGGUAUGUCUCCGUAUAAAAUGGUUUAUGGUAAAGCAUGUCACUUACCUUUUGAAUUAGAACAUAAGGCAUAUUGGGCUAUUAAAGAGCUCAACUAUGACUUCAAACUUGCCGGUGAGAAGAGGUUAUUUGACAUUAGCUCAUUUGAUGAAUGGAGAACCUAGGCUUAUGAAAAUGCCAAGCUGUUUAAAGAAAAAGUUAAAAGAUGGCAUGAUAAAAGGAUACAAAAGCAUGAGUUCAAUGUAGGUGAUUAUGUAUUGCUAUACAACUCUCGUUUAAGAUUUUUUGCAGGCAAACUUCUCUCUAAAUGGGAAGGUCCUUACGUUAUCGAGGAGGUCUAUCGUUCUGGUGCCAUAAAAAUCAACAACUUCGAAGGCACAAAUCCGAAGGCGGUGAACGGUCAAAGAAUUAAACAUUAUAUCUCAGCUAAUCCCAUAAAUGUUGAAACUAAUGUUAUUGAAACCGUAACCCCGGAGGAAUACAUAAGGGACACUUUCCGGAACGUUUCAGACUCCGAAAAGGAAUAGGUACAUGGUACAGUAAGUAAACCGACUCCAAAAUAGUUCUAAUGGCAAUAUUUCUUCAUUUUGGAAUAUUUAAGAAAAUAGGAAAAUAAGAAGCACACCGAAAAGGACACGAGGCUUCCAUGAGGGUGGGAGGCGCGCCCUACCCCCUGGGCGCGCCCCCUGCCUCGUGGGCACCUCGUGCGCUCUCCGGACUCCGUUUUCUUGCAUGAUACUUCUUUUGGUCGGUAAAAAUUCAUUAUAUAAUCUCCCGAAGGUUUUGACCACUGUAUCACGCAAACACCUCUUAUCUUUGUUUCGAGCUGUUUUUCUGACAGAUCUAGUUCGCCAUGUCGUCUUCAAGAUCCCCUAAGGACAAGUUCUUCAAGAAGGUCAUCAACCCUACCUCGAGGAGGUGCUGCAACACCCUCAAACCAUUGAGAUGCGUGAGGGGUUGUUGCACAUUCGCGAUGUUGAGGGACCAAGGAGAACUGGAAGCGUGGAGACAAGGCUUGAGUCAAUGGAGCAGCAAGUUUUCAAGUGUCAGGAGAUGGUGGAGCGUGGACUCGACUCCAAUCACAUAAUGAUCACGGAGUUCACCAACAACCACAAGCUGGACGCCAAGGACAUUGGGGAGGCCAUCUUCAAGCUUCAUGAGAAAAUCGAGCACCUCCAAGCCCAGAUCUAUGACCUGCAAAAUCAAAACUGUGAGUAUGAAUAUAGAUUCAAGAGGAUGAGUUUGGCUGCAGAUUUGAGGAUUCCGGAGACUCUAUCAUCCUUCUAUGAUGGUGAGCCUAUGCCUUGGAAGAGGGACGACAAGCCUACAUCAUCAACAACUCCAUCUCCUUUGCAGGCAAAAGAGACAUAAUCACAUGGGUAUGGGCACUCCCCUUGGCAACUGCCAAGCUUGGGGGAGUGCCCCGGUAUCGUAUCACCAUCACUUUUAUCUUUACCGUUUUCUUAGUUCGAUCCUUUUGAUAAUAUCUUGAUCUAGUAGAACAAAGUUUUAGUAUGAUUUAGUUGCGAGUUUUGCUUUAUGAUCCUUCUAUGUAAUCGAGUCCGUGAGCUAUAUAUAAUAAAGAUUAGUGUUGAGUCAAGGGCUUGAUUAUUUUACAUCUUGAGGGAAUAAAAUAAAAAGAGAAAUAAUAAAAAGAAAUAAAGAGAUCAUAUGGAUCUUAUGGAGAGUAAUGAGCUCACAUAUAAAGAGUAUGAUGAAUAAAAGUUGUUGAGAGUUGACAAACAUAGUUUUGGUCAUCGUUGCAAUUAAUAGGAAGUAAUAAAGAAAGAGAGGUUCACAUAUAAAUAUACUAUCUUGGACAUAUUUUAUGAUUGUGAGCACUCAUUAAAGUAUGACAUGCUAAGAGUUGACGUUGGAGAAGGAAGACAACGUAAUGGUUAUGUUUUCUUUCAUCUGAGAUAAAUUAUAUUGUCAUGGAUCAUCCAACAUGUUGAGAUUGCCUUUCCCUCUCUUGCUAGCCAAUUUCUUUGCACCAAGUAGAGAUACUACUUGUGCUUCCAAAAAUCCCUAAACCCAGUUUCGCCAUGAGAGUCCACCAUAUCUACCUAUGGAUUGAGUAAGAUCCUUCAAGUAAGUUGUCAUCGGUGCAAGCAAUAAAAAUUGCUCUCUAAAUAUGUAUGACUUAUUAGUGCAGAGAAAAUAAGCUUUAUACAAUCUUGUGAUAUGGAAGAAAUAAAAGCGACUGACUGCAUAAUAAAGGUCCAUAUCACAAGUGGCAAUAUAAAGUGACGUUCUUUUGCAUUAAGAUUUUGUGCAUCCAACCAUAAAAGCGCAUGACAACCUCUGCUUCCUUCUGUGAAGGGCAUGUCUUUUACUUUUAUUUUCUACCUUCCAUAAGAGUCAUGGUGAUCUUCACCUUUCCUUUUUACAUUUUAUCCUUUAGCAAGCACAAUGGGUUGGAAAGAUCCUGAUAUAUAUAGCUAAUUGGAUGUGAGUCUUCAUGAACUAUUAUUGUUGACAUUACCCUUGAGGUAAAACAUUGGGAGGCAAAACUAUAAGCCCCUAUCUUUCUUUGUGUCCGAUUAAAACUUCAUACCCAUAAAUAUUGCGUGAGUGUUAGCAAUUGUGAAAGACUAAAAGAUGGUUGAGUAUGUGGACUUGCUGAAAAGCUCUUAUAUUGACUCUUUCCUAUGUUAUGAUAAAUUGCAAUUGCCUCAAUGACUGAGAUUAGAGUUUGUUGGUUCUCAAUGAAGUUUAUGACCCAUACUUGAAAUUGUGAUAGAAUUGUUACUUUAGCAUAAGAGAUCAUAUGACAAUAUGUUCAAAUGUUGUUGUUCUAAGAAUGAUCAUGAUGCCCUCAUGUCCGUAUUUUAUUUUUAUCGACACCUCUAUCUCUAAACAUGUGGACAUAUUUUUUGAUUUCGGCUUUCGCUUGAGGACAAGCGAGGUCUAAGCUUGGGGGAGUUGAUAUGUCCAUUUUGCAUCACGCUUUUAUAUCGAUAUUUAUUGCAUUAUGGGCUGUUAUUACACAUUAUGUCACAAUACUUAUGCCUAUUCUCUCUUAUUUUACAAGGUUUACAUAAAGAGGGAGAAUGCCGACAACUGGGAUUCUGGGCUGGAAAAGGAGCUAAUAUUAGAGACCUAUUCUGCACAGCUCCAAAAGUCCAGAAACUUCACGGAAGCUAUUUCCAGAAUAUAUAAAAAAUAUAGAGCGCAAGAAGUUCCAGAGGGGGGGCCACACCCUGGCCAUGAGGGUGGGGGCGCCCCCUGCCUCGUGGGCCCCCUAGUGGCUCUCCGAUGCCCAUAUUCUACUAUAUGGAGUCUUUCGUUGAGGAAAAAAAUCAUAAGCAAGCUUUCGGGACGAGACUCCGCCGCCACGAGGCGAAACCAAUCUAGGGCUCUGGCGGAGCUGUUCUGUCGGGGAAACUUCCCUCCGGGAGGGGGAAAUCAUCACCAUCGUCAUCACCAACGAUCCUCUCAUCGGGAGGGGGUCAAUCUCCAUCAACAUCUUCACCAGCACCAUCUCAUCUCAAACCCUAGUUCAUCUCUUGUAUCCAAUCUUUGUAUCCAAACCUCAGAUUGUUACCUAUGGGUUGCUAGCAGUGUGGAUUACUCCUUGUAGUUGAUGCUAGUUGGUUUACUUGGUGGAAGAUCAUAUGUUCAGAUCCAUUAUGCAUAUUAAGACCCCCUGAUUAUGAACAUGAAUAUGUUUUGUGAGUAGUUACGUUUGUUCCUGAGGACAUGGGAUAAGUCUUGCUAUCAGUAGUCAUGUGAAUUUGGUAUUUGUUCGAUAUUUUGAUAAGAUGUAUGUUGUCAUCCCUCUAGUGGUGUCAUGUGAACGUCGACUACAUGACACUUCACCAUUGUUUGGGCCUAGAGGGAGGCAUUGGGAAGUAAUAAGUAGAUGAUGGGUUUCUAGAGUGACAGAAGCUUAAACCCUAGUUUAUGUGUUGCUUCAUAAGGGGCUGAUUUGGAUCCAUAUGUUUCAUGCUAUUGUUAGGUUUACCUUAAUACUUUUGUUGUAGUUGCGGAUGCUUGCAAUGGGAGUUAAUCAUAAGUGGGAUGCUUGUCCAAGUAAGGAUAGUACCCAAGCACCGGUCCACCCACAUAUCAAAUUAUCAAAGUACCGAACACGAAUCAUAUGAACGUGAUGAAAACUAGCUUGACGAUAAUUCCCAUGUGUCCUCGGGAGCGCUUUCCUUCAUAUAAGAGUUUGUCCAGGCUUGUCCUUUGCUACAAAAAGGAUUGGGCCAUCUUGCUGCACCUUAUUUACUUUUAUUACUUGCUACUCGUUACAAAUUACCUUAUCACAAAACUAUCAGUUACCUAUAAUUUCAGUGCUUGCAGAGAAUACCUUACUAAAAACUGCUUAUCAUUUCCUUCUGCUCCUCGUUGGGUUCGACACUCUUACUUAUCGAAAAGGCUAUGAUAGAUCCCCUACACUUGUGAGUCAUCAACAUGAUGUAGAGGGAUAAACUCAAGCAAUAUGAUAUAAACCCCAUCUUUUUAUCCUAGAUGGCAACAAUACAAUACAUGCCUUGCUGCCCCUGCUGUCACUGGGAAAGGACACCGCGAGAUUGAACCCAAAGCUAAGCACUUCUCCCAUUGCAAGAAAGAUUAAUCUAGUAGGCCAAACCAAACUGAUAAUUCGAAGAGACUUGCAAAGAUAACCAAUCAUACAUAAAAGAUUUCAGAGAAGAAUCAAAUAUUGUUCAUAGAUAAUCUUGAUCAUAAACCCACAAUUCAUCGGAUCUCGACAAACAAACCGCAAAAAGAGUUACAUCGAAUAGAUCUCCAAUAAGAUCAAGGAGAACUUUGUAUUGAGAUCCAAAGAGAGAGAAGAAGCCAUCUAGCUAAUAACUAUGGACCCGAAGGUCUGAGGUAAACUACUCACACAUCAUCAGAGCGGCUAUGGUGUUGAUGUAGAAGCCCUCCGUGAUCGAUUGCCCCUCUGGCGGAGCUCCGGAAAAGGCCCCAAGAUGGGAUCUCUUGGGUACAGAAGGUUGCGGCGGUGGAAAUAGGGUUUUGUGGUGCUCCUGGAUGUUUUCGGGGUAUAUGGAUAUAUAUAGGAGGAAGAAGUAGGUCGGUGGAGCUACGAGGGGCCCACGAGGGUGGGGGCGCGCCUCCCUGCCUCGUGGCCUCCUCGUUGAUUUCUUGACGUCUACUCCAAGUCCCCUGGAUCACGUUUGUUCCAAAAAUAACUCUCCCAAAGGUUUCAUUCCGUUUGGAUUCUGUUUGAUAUUCCUUUUCUGCGAAACACUGAAAUAGGCAAAAAAAACAACAAUUUGCACUUGGCCUUGGGUUAGUAGGUUAGUCCCAAAAAUAAUAUAAAAGUGUAUAAAUAAGCCCAUUAAACAUCCAAAACAGAUAAUAUAAUAGCAUGGAACAAUCAAAAACUAUAGAUACGUUGGAGACGUAUCAAGGCGCGCCAAGGAGGGGAGGAGUCCUCCUCCUGGUAGGAGUAGGACUCCCCCUUUCCUAGUCCAACCAGGAAGGAAGGAGAGGGAGAGAAGAGAAGGAAAGGGGGCGCCCCCCCCCCCCUUCCCUAGUCCAAUUCGGACUAGAGGGGGAGCGGCACGCGGCCCUGCCUUGGCCAGCCCUCUCUCUCUCCACUAAGGCCCAUGUUGGCCCAUUAGUCCCCCCGGGGGUUCCAACCCCCGGUACUCCGGUAAUUAUCCAGUGACCCCCGGAACUCAUCUGGUGUCCGAAUAUAGUCAUCCAAUAUAUCAAUCUUUAUGUCUCGACCAUUUCGAGACUCCUCGUCAUGUCUGUGAUCACAUUCGGGACUCCAAACUAUUUUCGGUGCAUAAAAACACAUAAACUCAUAAUACUAAUCGUCACCGAACGUUAAGCGUGCGGACCCUACGGGUUUGAGAACUAUGUAUACAUGACUGAGACACGUCUCCAGUCAAUAACCAAUAUUGGAACCUGGAUGUUCAUAUUGGCUCCCACAUAUUCUACGAAGAUCUUUAUCGGUCAAACCGCAUAAAGAUAUACGUUGUUCCCUUUGUCAUCGGUAUGUUACUUGCUCGAGAUUCGAUCGUCGGUAUCUCAAUAUCUAGUUCAAUCUCGAUAUCGGCAAGUCUCUUUACUCAUUCAGUAAUGCAUCAUCCCGUAUCUAACUCAUUAGUCACAUUGCUUGCAAGGCUUAUAGUGAUGUGCAUUACCGAGAGGGCCCAGAGACACCUCUCCGAUACUCGGAGUGACAAAUCCUAAUCUCGAUCUAUGCCAACUCAACAAACACCAUCAGAGACACAUGUAGAACAUCUUUAUAGUCACCUAGUUACGUUGUGACGUUUGAUAGCACACUAAGUGUUCCUCCGGUAUUCGGGAGUUGCAUGAUCUCAUAGUCAUAGGAACAUGUAUAAGUUAUGGAGAAAGCAACAGCAACAAACUAAACGAUCAUCGUGAUAAGCUAACGGAUGGGUCAAGUCAAUCACAUCAUUCUCUAAUGAUGUGAUCCCAUUAAUCAAAUGACAACUCAUGUCUAUGGUUAGGAAACAUGACCAUCAUUUAUUCAAUGAGCUAGUCAAGUAGAGGCAUACUAGUGACACUCUGUUUGUCUAUGUAUUCACACAUGUACUAAGUUUUCGGUUAAUAUAAUUCUAGCAUGAAUAAUAAACAAUUAUCAUGAUAUAAGGAAAUAUAAAUACAACUUUAUUAUUGCCUCUAGGGCAUAUUCCCUUCAGUCUCCCACUUUCACUAGAGUCAAUAAUCUGGAUUACAUUGUAAUGAUUCCAACACCCAUGGAGUCUUCGUGCUAAUCAUGUUUUGCUCAUGAGAGAGGCUUAGUCAAUGGGUCUGCAACAUUCAGAUCCAUAUGUAUCUUGCAAAUCUCCAUGUCUCCCUCCUUGACUUGAUCGCGGAUGGAAUUGAAGCGUCUCUUGAUGUGCUUGGUUCUCUUAUGAAAUUUGGAUUCUGUGACGCCCCCGAUUCAAUCGUACACUAAUCAUACACACAAACGUGUACGAUCAAGAUCAGGGACUCACGUGAAGAUAUCACAACACAACUCUACAAAUAAAAUAAGUCAUACAAGCAUCAUAUUACAAGCCAGGGGCCUCGAGGGCUCGAAUACAAGAGCUCGAUCAUAGACGAGUCAGCGGAAGCAACAAUAUCUGAGUACAGACAUAAGUUAAACAAGUUUGCCUUAAGAAGGCUAGCACAAACUGGGAUACAGAUCGAAAGAGGCGCAGGCCUCCUGCCUGGGAUCCUCCUAAACUACUCCUGGUCGCCGUCAGCGGGCUGCACAUAGUAGUAGGCACCUCCGGUGUAGUAGGAGUCGUCGUCGAAGGUGGCGUCUGGCUCCUGGGCUCCAACAUCUGGUUGCGACAACCAGGUAGAAGGGAUAGGGGGAAAAGAGGGAGAAAGCAACCGUGAGUACUCAUCCAAAGUACUCGCAAGCAAGGAGCUACACUACAUAUGUAUGCAUCGGUAUCAACUGGAAUAAGGCUAUUAUAUGUGGACUGAACUGCAGAAAGCCGGGAUAAGGAGGGAUAGCUAGUCCUUUCGAAGACUACACUUCUGGCAGCCUCGUCUUGCAGCAUGUAGAAGAGAGUAGACUGAAGACCUCCAAGUAGCAUCGUAUAGCAUAAUCCUAACCGAUGAUCCUCCCCUCGUCGCCCUGUGAGAGAGCGAUCACCGGUUGUAUAUGGCACUUGGAAGGGUGUGUUUUAUUAAGUAUCCGGUUCUAGUUGUCAUAAGGUCAAGGUACAACUCCAAGUCGUCCUGUUACCGAAGAUCACGGCUAUUCGAAUAGAUUAACUUCCCUGCAGGGGUGCACCACAUAACCCAACAUGCUCGAUCCCAUUUGGCCGGACACACUUUCCUGGGUCAUGCCCGGCCUCGGAAGAUCAACACGUCGCAGCCCUACCUAGGCACAACAGAGAGGUCAGCACGCCGGUCUAAAUCCUAUGGCGCAGGGGUCUGGGCCCAUCACCCUUUGCACACCUGCAUGUUGCGAACGCGGCCGGAAGCAGAACUAGCCCCCUUAAUACAAGAGCAGGCUUACGGUCCAAUCCGGCGCGCGCCACUCAGUCGCUGAUGUCACGAAGGCUUCGGCUGAUACCACGACGUCGAGUGCCCAUAACUGUCCCCGCGUAGAUGGUUAGUGCGUAUAUGCCAAUAGCCAGACUCAGAUCAAAUACCAAGAUCUCGUUAAACAUGUUAAGUAUCUGCGAACACCGACCAGGGCCAGGCCCACCUCUCUCCUAGGUGGUCACAACCUGCCUUGUCGCUUCGCCACAAAGAUCCACACAGAGGGCCGUUGGGACAAAGGUCCUUUCAGCCCCCAAUCCGUGAAUCACUCGCGGGUGCUCCACAAGCCGACCCGACUUUAGUCACCACAUGUAUCAUGUAUAAAGUAUAUAGUAUAUACCCGUGAUCACCUCCCGAGUGAUCAUGGCCCGAUAAUAUAGCAUGGCAGACGGACAAGAAUGUAUGGCCACUGAUGAUAAUCUAGCAUCCUAUACUAAGCAUUAGGAUUGCAGGUAAAGGUAUCAACAAUAGUAGCAAGGACAGGCUAUGCAUCAGAAUAGGAUUAACGGAAAGCAGUAACAUGCUACACUACUCUAAUGCAAGCAGUAGAGAAAGAGUAGGUGAUAUCUGGUGAUCAAAAGGGGGGGCUUGCCUGGUUGCUCUGGCAAGAGAGAGGGGUCGUCAACACUGUAGUCAUACUGGGUAGCAGCGGCGUCGGUCUCGAUGUCUAGCGAGAGAAGAGGGGGAAGAAACAAUAAAUAUAAUGCAAACAGAAGCAUGACAAUGCAUGACGUGACAAAGCGUGAUGCUAGGUGUGCCCUAACGCGGUAUGAGGUGAUGCCGGUGAAGGGGGGAAACAUCCGGGAAAGUAUCCCCGGUGUUUCGUGUUUUCGGGCAGACGAGCCGGAGGGGGAAAGUUGCGAGUUCGAUAGGUUAGGGAUGCGUGGCGGACGAACGGGCUGCGUUUCCGGAUUCGCCUCGUCAUUCUGAGCAACUUUCAUGUACAAAGUUUUUUCAUCCGAGCUACGGUUUAUUUUAUAUUAAUUAUUAAAGAUUUAAAUCAUUUUUAGUACUAACAAAAUUAAUUAAUUUAGGAAAUACAAUUAUGACGUCAGCAUGAUGUCAGCGGUCAACUCUGACCGUUGACCAGUCAACUGGUGGGUGGGGCCCGUCGGUCAUUGAUUGUUAUCUCAUUAUCAGAAUUAAUUAGCCUAAUUAGGUUUAGGUUAACUAAACAGAAUUAAUUAAGUUAAUUAAUUAUCCUAAUUAAUUAAUUAUUAUAAUUUUCUAAUUCCUCUUUUUUUUUAAAGGGGCAUGGGGCCCAUAUGUCAUAGGCUCAUAGUAAUUAAAUAGGGUUAAUUAGCUUUAACUAAAUGAUUAGGUUAAUCUAAUCCAAUUUAAUUAAUUCUUUAAUUAAUUAAUUAACAUUUUAAUUAUCAUAUUUAUUAUUUAUUUCUCUUUUUUUGUUAAAAACGUUCUGGUCGUGGGGCCCCCUGUCAUAGGCACAGGGGGCCUUAACGGGUUUUGGGCGCCGGGGCAACGGUUGUUGCCCGAAUGGGCGCAGUUGCGGGCGCCGGGUCGCCUGGACCCGGGCGCUGCCUUGCCGGCAGCCAUGGCGGGGCACGACGCCGGCCAUGGAAGGGAGCGGGCCGCGGCGGAUGCGGCGGUAGGGGGUGGUAGCUGGGGCGAGGACGCGGCCGGCAGCCAUGGCGAGCGGAGGCGGGCGCUAGAAGCGGUAGGGUGAAGGCGGAGAUGGCCGCGGGGCGAGGCGCGAGCAGGCGCGGGCUUGCGCGCGCGUGGCGCGUAGGCGCGGCGAGGCCGGGAGCACGAUGACAGAAGUACGAGGCAGCACCGACGCGGACGACCUAGGGAAAGGGGUAGGGGAGAUGGGGUCAUACCCCCGGUGCAGGGGUUCGGUCGGCGAAGUUCGGGGCGGCCGGCGUAGAUCGAGGCGAGCCAUGUGGCGGCCGUCGUCGAAGAAGAUCGUCGAGGGAGCCGUCGUUGGGGCGUCCUAGCUCACGUGCACCAGUGUAGACGACGAAGACGACGAGGCAGACCUCACAGACGCGAGGGGUUGCUGAUUCGGUGGUGUUGGUCGCGGUGGUUUGCGGCGGUUCCUCGCGCGCGGGCAUGCCGGCGAGGUGGGCUUCGGCGUGUCAAGGGGGUCCAGCGCGGGGCUCUUGUCGUCGCUGGAGAACGNNNNNNNNNNNNNNNNNNNNNNNNNNNNNNNNNNNNNNNNNNNNNNNNNNNNNNNNNNNNNNNNNNNNNNNNNNNNNNNNNNNNNNNNNNNNNNNNNNNNNNNNNNNNNNNNNNNNNNNNNNNNNNNNNNNNNNNNNNNNNNNNNNNNNNNNNNNNNNNNNNNNNNNNNNNNNNNNNNNNNNNNNNNNNNNNNNNNNNNNNNNNNNNNNNNNNNNNNNNNNNNNNNNNNNNNCUCGGUCAGGAGGAGUGGGGGUCGCGAGAGGAGUGGGGGAGGGGGGUCGUGCGGGGCGACGGGGAUGGUUCCGAUCUGGAUCGGUGGGGAGAAGUGGGGGCGGUGGUUGCCCUAGGGUUCGAUCGGGUUGGGGGAUAAGGGAGGGCAGCCUGGGCCAGGUGACUGGCAUGACGGGGAGCGGUGUGACGCCCAGAUAAUUAACCUACAGUAAUCCAUGUUAACGAUGCCACGUCACCUCGGUUACUGUUGCUAAUCUCACGUUAGUUCAAAACCAAUUUAAAAUUCAAAUUCAAAAUCAAGUCAAACAUUUAAAGUUUUCAAAAAUCAAAACUAAAAUGUUGUCAAGAUGUUAAAUAAAUCAUGGGUAAUAAUGGUGGAGAAACCUAAAUUUAAUAAAAUGUUUAAGUGUUCAAAAUAAUUAAAAUAGAGAUUUAAAUAUUAAAAUAAAUACCUUUUGAAUUUUAUAAAAUAUUAAACUAUUUUAAUUUGGGUUGAGAAUUAAUGUGGCAGUAGUAUAUUUAAAGGUAUUAACCUAGGUGUUACUGGUAAUUUUUACAAAACUAAAAUAAGAGAAAACUAAAAGUAAAACAGUAGAAGAAAAAUACAUAAAAGGAAACGAAACAAACAGAAAACAAAACAAAAAAAACCACCCCGCUCCCCAUGGGCCUCGGCCCUUCCCACCCAACCAGCCUACUUGGCCCAACCGGCCACCCCCACACCCCAGAAACCCUAACCCCCCACUCCUCUCGAUCCCCACUCCCUCUCCCCCUCCCGAUCCAGUCUGGAUCGUGGACGAAGACCCCACUCCCCUCGAGCCUCGCCCCGACACCCGCGGCGCCCCGAGGCCGAUGUCGCCGCGCGGAGCCCCCUCGUCGCCGGACCGCGCCGCACCGUGUCUGAGGACCGCCGCCUCCGCCCACCCGCUCCUCCAGAGUCGCCGCACCGAACCUCUCCGCCGGAUCUCGACCUCGCCGGCGCCUCUUCCCCGCUGGCCUACUUCUCCUCUCCGUCCCGGUCGUCUCCGUCGACCACCCCGACAACCGCUGCCAUUUCCCUACCGGCCUCGUGAGCCUCUCCCUCCCCUCCUCUUUGCUGCCGUAUCGCGCGCACGCUCCGUCGUGGCCGCGCCCAUUCCCCUUUCCCCUCCGUCGCGCCGUACUGCCGCCCGCACCUCCGCACGCGCCUGCGCCACGCCUAGCCGCGCCUCGUGCGCCCCAGGCGCGCCCCGUCCCUGAGCCCUGCCGCGCCCGGGCUCACCGCCUACCCGCGGGCACACGCCCCGCCGCCGCGUCCGCCUGCCUCCGCCGGCGGCCACCUCCACCCGCUCAUGCCCUGCCUCCUCCUGCGCCCCGUGCACCCUCCACCGCGCCGCCUAGCCCCGGUGCUGCCCCGAUGUGGCCUCGCCGAACUGGCCCCCCCCUCGGUCUGUCGAUCUGGGCGCCAACGCCCGUUUAGCCCGCCCCGUUAGGCCCCUGGGCCAAUGGCACGUGGGGCCCGCCCCUGAGAACGUUUAUAAAAAAAGAAAGAAUUGAAAUAAUAAUAAUAAUAAUAAUAAUUAAUUAACAUAAUUAAUUUUGAUCAAUUAAACUAAAACAACUAAUUAAGCCUAGCUAAUUAACCUAAACCCUAAUUAUCUAAACAGUCAAUGACAGGGGGUCCCACCCCUGUUGACCAGUCAAACGUUGACUGGUCAACUGGGUCCCCUAGCCCACAUGCCAGCCUCUGUGUACAUUCUGUGUACACAGGGCUGGGUACCCAUAGCAUUUUGUCUAUUAAUUUUGAAUUAGUAAUAAUUUCAUAAAAUGAAUAAAACUUUGAAAAAUCAUAUAAAAUAAUUUGUAACUCGGAUGGAGAAACUUUGUACAUGAAAGUUGCUCAGAACGACGAGACGAAUCCAGAUACACAACCCGUUCGUCCACCACACAUCCCUAGAAUAGCAAACAUGCAACUUUCCCCCUCCGGUUCGUUUGUCCGAAAACGCGAAACACCGGGGAUAAUUUCCCGGAUGUUUCCCCCCUUCACCGGUACCACCUCGUACCGCGUUAGGGCACACCUAGCAUCACGCUUUGUCAUGUCAUGCAUCGUCAUGCAUUUGUUUGCAUUAUAUUUAUUGUUUCUUCCCCCUCUUCUCUCGCUAGACACCGAGACCGACGCCGCUGCUACCCAGUACGACUAUGAUGUUGACGACCACUCUCUCUUGCCAGAGCAACCAGGCAAGCCCCCCCUUUGAUCACCAGAUAUCGCCUACUCUUUUCUCUACUGCUUGCAUUAGAGUAGUGUAGCAUGUUACUGCUUUCCGUUAAUCCUAUUCUGAUGCAUAGCUUGUCCUUGCUACUACUGUUGUUACCUUUACCUGCAAUCCUAAUGCUUAGUAUAGGAUGCUAGAUUAUCAUCAGUGGCCAUACAUUCUUGUCCGUCUGACAUGCUAUACUACUGGGCCGUGAUCACUUCGGGAGGUGAUCACGGGCAUUUACAAUAUACUUUACACACUUACAUUACCUGUGAUACUGUUCGGAGAUGGGGGCUGAAGGGGCAGGUGGCUCCAUCCCGGUAGAGGUGGGCCUGGGUUCCCGACGGCCCCCGACUGUUACUUUGUGGCGGAGCGACAGGGCAGGUUGAGACCACCCAGGAGAGAGGUGGGCCUGGCCCUGGUCGGCGUUCGCAGAUACUUAACACGUUUAAUGAGAUCUUGGUAUUUGAUCUGAGUCUGGCUACUGGCCUAUACGCACUAACCAUCUACGCGGGGACAGUUAUGGGCACUCGACGUCGUGGUAUCAGCCGAAGCCUUCGUGACGUCAGCGACUGAGUGGCGCGCGCCGGAUUGGACCGUAAGCCUGCUCUUGUAUUAAGGGGGCUAGUUCUGCUUCCGGCCGCGUACGCAACGUGCAGGUGUGCAAUGGGCGAUGGGCCCAGACCCCUGCGCCAUAGGAUUUAGACCGACAUGCUGACCUCUCUGUUGUGCCUAGGUAGGGCUGCAACGUGUUGAUCUUCCGAGGCCGGGCAUGACCCAGGAAAGUGUGUCCGGCCAAAUGGGAUCGAGCGUGUUGGGAUAUGUGGUGCACCCCUGCAGGGAAGUUAAUCUAUUCGAAUAGCCGUGAUCUUCGAUAACAGGACGACUUGGAGUUGUACCUUGACCUUAUGACAACUAGAACUGGAUACUUAAUAAAACACACCCUUCCAAGUGCCAGAUACAACCGGUGAUCGCUCUCUCACAGGGCGACGAGGGGAGGAUCAUCGGUUAGGGUUAUGCUAUGCGAUGUUACUUGGAGGACUUCAGUCUACUCUCUUCUACAUGCUGCAAGCGGAGGCUGCCAGAAGCGUAGUCUUCGACAGGAUUUGCUAUCCCCCUCUUUCUCUAGCAUUCUGCAGUUCAGUCCACCGAUAUGGCCUUUACACAUAUACCCAUGCAUAUGUAGUGUAGCUCCUUGCUUACGAGUACUUUGGAUGAGUACUCACGGUUGCUUUCUCCCUCUUUUCCCCCUAUCCCUUCUACCUGGUUGUCGCAACCAGAUGUUGGAGCCCAGGAUCCAGAUGCCACCAUCGACGAUGACUCCUACUACACCGGAGGUGCCUACUACUACGUGCUGCCCGCUAACGACGACCAGGAGUAGUUAGGAGGAUCCCAGGCAGGAGGCCUGCGCCUCCUUCGAUCUGUAUCCCAGUUUGUGCUAGCCUUCUUAAGGCAAACUUGUUUAACUUAUGUCUGUACUCAGAUAUUGUUGCUUCCGCUGACUCGUCUAUGAUCGAGCUCUUGUAUUCGAGCCUUCGAGGCCCCUGGCUUGUAAUAUGAUGCUUGUAUGACUUAUUUUAUUUGUAGAGUUGUGUUGUGAUAUCUUCUCGUGAGUCCCUGAUCUUGAUCGUACACGUUUGUGUGUAUGAUUAGUGUACGGUCAAAAUCGGGGGAGUCACAAGUUGGUAUCAGAGCCAACUGCCUGUAGGAAUCCCCCUUCCAACUCCUUGGCCGAAGUCGAGUCUAGACAUUGCAAAACUUUUACUAACAUGGCUGUGUGUCUUACAGGCACACGUCGCCAUUGGGUGGUAGUAGAAUCUUUUAUUCCUCAACCUAUACUCUGGGACUCUGACAUCUCUUCAAUUCGGGUUAAACGAUUUUACUAACUCUGACUCUAGGUUCUCGAUAAUACUUUCUCCCGAAGAGCCCCUUCAGUCCAGAUGAUCGCCGGCUGCACCAGAAGAUUUCGAAGAUACUCUCCGAUUUUCUCUCGAGACCUUGUGCCCGUUGCUUUUGCAAUUCCCUUCCACCGAAAUAUCCCUAUGGGUAAAUACUUACACUUGUCGUGCUUUCUUUUAUUCCCAGUCGAUCUUGUUAUUACAAGAUACGCCUAGAAUAUUUUGUAAUUACUGCCUUGCAGUUCUUUGCCACCUGAAUACCCCUAAGAAUAAUUUCUCGCACUUUCCGAGUAUCCGCUCAUCCCCAGUUGUUCAGGUGUUUCACAAAAGUCUUUGAAAUACUAUUCAAUCCUCCGAAAAUCCUUAGCAGCUUUAUUGCUCUGCAAAUACUUGUCUACUUGCAUUAUGGAUGCUUCCCAUAUAUCUGGCAAUAUUCACUAGUAUCUUUUGACACCGUCAUUUUGUUCCUAUUGAUUCAACAUGUGUACGAAUGCACACAAUCAUCUAUCAACCCUUCUAAAUUAUCUUUCCGGCUCAGACAUCAUUUUUGAACAUGAGCUGGUUCUCGACCAAACUAUUUGUCAUCAAUUGUGCCUCUGGUCUAUCCAACUAAUCCAUCCUUGAUCAGAGCAUCUGCUUCUGAUCCUUUGUUUUGGAAAUCAUAAUUCCUUUGUUAUAUAAGCAUCGAAUUGUUCAGAUGUUCUAUAAUAUGAUGCCCGUGCAUUCUUCUUCCUCUGGUUGAGUACCGAUGCUCACAUCAGAUCCCCUGUGGACCAUCAGUUCCUUUGUUGGAUUUUAUCCGACAGUGUCCUUCAUAUUGAAUAACCUUGAGAGCCUUUCCAUGGGUAUAUAAUGCCUUUGGUAAAUUGUAUCAUCUGCUUUUGAACAAUGCUCUACUUUCGAGCUUGUGAUAUUUACUCUUGAAACUUGUGGUAUAUAUUUCUAAGAUAUCCCGAUGGGUUGAACAUUAUGCCUUCCUUAAUCUGUGUGAACCCGAAAACUUUUCAGGGGUCAUACUCCUCUAGUAAUUCACCUGGUAGGUUUUCACACUAAAAUCGUUUUAUUAGAGCUGUGAAUGAAAGAUUAUGCAUUGCAGAAGUGGGAGUCGACCUUGAACCUUUGUGUUCAUGCCCAUGGACACGAUGUAGAUCCUAUCAUGGAAGCUUCUUGUAAUAAUAAUUAUUUCCUUAAUAUAAUAUCCUUUGGUAUCGGUGAAUUGAUCCUUUGCAAUUGUGGUUCCGACCAUAUGUUCUUCUUUGAUCCCAUUUCUCGGGCAAGUUUAAGCACUUGUCUUCCGUGGAUCAAUACACCAGUCCAACCUUUACUUUGAUCUUUCAUCGAGUAUUACACCUUGGUAUCUCGAGGUUAUCACGGAACUACAUAACUUCUUAUGAGUUCUUCAUCAACUAUUAUUCUCACCGAUUCCAACCCCCCCCCCCCGGGUUCUGAGUUAAUAAUCACUCGAGAACACCGAUAAGUGAAUCGAUUCCGCACUCGGAUUCAAUAAAUCUAAGUAAUUUUCGUUGCUUAUGAGUUUAAUAACUCUUCAAGUCAUUCCUAGCCUAAUCGGCUACAUCAUUAUUGUGCCAAUUUUGACUGUACUACCUGGUCCUUCCCGGAGCACAAUUUUCGACGAUGAGCUAAGCUUACGUCGAUUUUCCUUGUCAUAUCAUUUCACCUUGAACAGCAAGCUUGAUUUCAAGUUUGUGUCGUACAUGUGCUUCCAUUCAUCUCUUGCUUCAUCAUCCCUUUGACUUGAUGUCAUCGCUAAUCGAUUACAUCCUCAUGAAAUCUCUCGACAAAAAAUGUCGUGGUCAUCAUCAACAUUUUGAAUCCUUUCAGGAUACCAAUCGAAUUCAUGAUUAUAAGUAACACCCUUGUUCCUUGGUAAUUUGAGUUACCAUCGACAACAUCCUUGCCUUCUCUCCAACACAAACUUGUUCGUGUUUUGUAUUACACCUUAGGUUCCUUGGCAUCCAGCUUAUGAUGUGUUCUACCUUGGAGUAUUACCAUCUGUAAUGUCAAGAAUGUCAUGGGAAUCCCCCACCUCUUCAGGAUUCUGAUUAUAUUAGUACUUCUCGCCAUCUUCGUUCCUUUCUUGGUCCCCGUGUUGAUUCGAAUCGGAAUACCGACAAUUGAACUUUGAGGUGUGAAUUCAAAACUUCUAGCAACCCUAAUGCUUUGAAGUGAAUGAUUGAUAGUUUCAUUCUAAUUCUUUUGUUCAUUAAGUCACCAUUCUAACAUUAUUUGUGCGACCCAGCCAUAUUUCGGGUGCACCUGUCAACCAAUGCUUAAUUGGGUAUGUUUUCCUCGAGCAUACCUCAUUAUAUCAUUUGAUCUGACAAUUGUUAUCUCCUUGUCUGCAUGAUCGUGGAAAUCCAUCUUUUGAGAUCUCAAUGAAUUUUCGCUGAGUCCCUCAGCCACCUCCUAACCCUCUCCUUGAUUUAAUGAUGAACUCUUGUUUCGGAACUUGCUUCUAUAGUUCAUUCCCCGAUAUAAUGUCAUCUUGUCAAAUUGUGUUGCACCUUUUCUUCUCAGGCAUCCUAAGUUUGAGGUAUCCUGACACCAAUCGGAUCUGAACCUCGGUCAUGUAUGAUGGUUGGAACAUUUUCCAAGUGUUAUAACAUUGGUCUACAUGUGACCUGGUAAGGUGAUGUCAUGCCUAGCACACCUGGCCGGAGGACCUAUUUUUGUAGUUUCCUUUUUGGCAAGGUUAGCCAUUUUUCCAUGAGGAAAUUGUAAGACUUAUUAUGUAAGUUGUUCCUGAUGGAUCCUUAGAGUAUCCAAAGUCGGAUCUUUACCCAGUGACCAUGUCAAUGCUAUCUCGAAACAUGACUGUGGUACUCCGAAUUGCAAUAAGAACAUUUGAAGCACAAUGCUAAAAUUUCUUUAUCAAUUAUCCAAACACCGUUGUAUGGGUAAUGGCAUGAAAUUUCUCUCCCUUUUCCUAAAGGGUUUUCUACGUUAUAUCCCGUCAUGGAAAUCAUGCUCUGCUUGCUCUUGGGAAGGAUAUACCCCUGGAAUAUCUGAUAAUCAUAAUUUCCUUUCCAUUAUUUGGUUUAACCUUUCUGGUGAUCAUUAUGGUCUAAGCAAUAUUAACUCCCUGCUUAUGUAAACCCCUCGGUGUACAAUUCUGUCAGUAAGACCCUGUUACCUUUGUUGAUGACAUUCCGGUAACCACCGAUGGACGAGAACUUUGCCUAUUGGUCCGCCUCGUUGCAACGAGCAGGAAAAUGGUUCUCUUCGUCCCUCGCCCUUGGUACCAACGUUGUUGCCGACAUAGCUAACAUGGUACUCCCUGACAUGCCUUGCUAUCAUGAUCGUGCCAGAUGUCACUACUCAAAAAAAAACCACAUGGUGGCCCAUAACCCACAGUUCCAUAGGAUCGAAACUUGACUCUCCUGCAACCCCUGUUCCCAAGGUUCUUCCUCGCGUGUGGCCUCGUAUGUAUUUCACGAGCCACCUUUCGAGAGAUCAUCAAAUCUGUUACCGGACGCAAUACUUAAUCCCGAUUGCUUUGAGCCCCUUUCAAGCCCCGUUUCAGGCAUCGAACGGUUGCCUGCUCGCUCGAGACUUCCCAUGAAACCUCAUUACUUGCUCUCGAUAUUUACUUAAGUUUCAAUUCGAGAGUUACUUUCCGCCACCUUCCCCGAUGUUAUCGACCAGAUAGUCAACCUUGUAGAGGUUCGUUCUCCCGGAAUACCCCCCUUAUUCUCUCAUUAGUAUGAUGGAACCCCGACUUCAUCAUGAAGACUGAAACAGCAAAAUGAAGACAACAAUGUAAUGGAUCAACCUCUUCGAGAAGAACAACCAAGACCAAGAACACUCCGUGGAGUUUCGUAACCCGAACCUUCCCCCUUUACUUCCCUCUUAAAUCUCGGGACGAGAUUUCUUAUAGUGGAGGAGAAUUGUGACGCCCGGAUAAUUAACCUACAGUAAUCCAUGUUAAUGAUGCCACGUCACCUCGGCUACUGUUGCUAAUCUCACGUUAGUUCAAAACCAAUUAAAAAUUCAAAUUCAAAAUAAUGUCAAACAUUUAAAGUUUUCAAAAAUCAAAACUAAAAUGUUGUCAAGGUGUUAAAUAAAUCAUGGGUAAUAAUGGUGGAGAAACCUAAAUUUAAUAAAAUGUUUAAGUGUUCAAAAUAAUUAAAAUAGAGAUUUAAAUAUUAAAAUAAAUACAUUUUGAUUUUUAUAAAAUAAUAAACUAUUUUAAUUUGGGUUGAGAAUUAAUGUGGCAGUAGUAUAUUUAAAGGUAUUAACCUAGGUGUUAGUGGUAAUUUUUAUAAAACUAAAAUAAGAGAAAACUAAAAGUAAAACAGUAGAAGAAAAAUACAUAAAAGGAAACGAAACAAACAGAAAACAAAACAAAAGAAACCACCCCGCUCCCCAUGGGCCUCGGCCCUUCCCACCCAACCAGCCUACUUGGCCCAACCGGCCACCCCCUGGCCUAUAAGGCCACCCCCACACCCCAGAAACCCUAACCCCCCACUCCUCUCGAUCCCCACUCCCUCUCCCCCUCCCGAUCCAGUCUGGAUCGUGGACGAAGACCCCACUCCCCUCGAGCCUCGCCCCGACACCCGUGGCGCCCCGAGGCUGACAUCGCCGCACGGAGCCCCCUCGUCNNNNNNNNNNNNNNNNNNNNNNNNNNNNNNNNNNNNNNNNNNNNNNNNNNNNNNNNNNNNNNNNNNNNNNNNNNNNNNNNNNNNNNNNNNNNNNNNNNNNNNNNNNNNNNNNNNNNNNNNNNNNNNNNNNNNNNNNNNNNNNNNNNNNNNNNNNNNNNNNNNNNNNNNNNNNNNNNNNNNNNNNNNNNNNNNNNNNNNNNNNNNNNNNNNNNNNNNNNNNNNNNNNNNNNNNNNNNNNNNNNNNNNNNNNNNNNNNNNNNNNNNNNNNNNNNNNNNNNNNNNNNNNNNNNNNNNNNNNNNNNNNNNNNNNNNNNNNNNNNNNNNNNNNNNNNNNNNNNNNNNNNNNNNNNNNNNNNNNNNNNNNNNNNNNNNNNNNNNNNNNNNNNNNNNNNNNNNNNNNNNNNNNNNNNNNNNNNNNNGUCCGCCUGCCUCCGCCGGCGAUCACCUCCACCCGCUCAUGCCCUGCCUCCCCCUGCGCCCCGUGCACCCUCCACCGCGCCGCCUAGCCCCGGUGCUGCCCCAAAGUGGCCUCGCCGCGCCCGUGACUGGCGCCCCCCCCCUCGGUCUAUCGAUCUAGGCGCCAACGCCCGUUUAGCCCGCCCCGUUAGGCCCCUGGGCCAAUGGCACGUGGGGCCCGCCCCUGAGAACGUUUAUAAAAAAGAAAGAAUUGAAAUAAUAAUAAUAAUAAUAAUUAAUUAAUUAAUUAAAGAAUUAAUUAACUUAAUUAAUUUUGAUCAAUUAAACUAAAACAACUAAUUAAGCCUAGCUAAUUAACCUAAACCCUAAUUAUCUAAACAGUCAAUGACAGGGGGUCCCACCCCUAUUGACCAGUCAAACGUUGACUGGUCAACUGGGUCCCCUGGCCCACAUGUCAGCCUCUGUGUACAUUCUGUGUACACAUGGCUGGGUACCCAUAGCAUUUUGUCUAUUAAUUUUGAAUUAGUAAUAAUUUCAGAAAAUGAAUAAAACUUUGAAAAAUCAUAUAAAAUAAUCUGUAACUCGGAUCGAGAAACUUUGUACAUGAAAGUUGCUCAGAACGACGAGACGAAUCCGGAUACACAACCCGUUCGUCCACCACACGUCCCUAGCAUAGCAAACAUGCAACUUUCCCCCUCCGGUUCGUUUGUCAGAAAAUGCGAAACACCGGGGAUAAUUUCCCGGAUGUUUCCCCCCUUCACCGGUACCACCUCGUACCGCGUUAGGGCACACCUAGCAUCACGCUUUGUCAUGUCAUGCAUCGUCAUGCAUUUGUUUGCAUUAUAUUUAUUGUUUCUUCCCCCUCUUCUCUCGCUAGACACCAAGACCGACGCCGCUACUACCCAGUACGACUACGGUGUUGACGACCACUCUCUCUUGCCAGAGCAACCAGGCAAGCCCCCCCUUUGAUCACCAGAUAUCGCCUACUCUUUUCUUUACUGCUUGCAUUAGAGUAGUGUAGCAUGUUACUGCUUUCCGUUAAUCCUAUUCUGAUGCAUAGCCUGUCCUUGCUACUAUUGUUGUUACCUUUACCUGCAAUCCUAAUGCUUAGUAUAGGAUGCUAGAUUAUCAUCAGUGGCCAUACAUUCUUGUCCGUCUGCCAUGCUAUACUACUGGGCCGUGAUCACUUCGGGAGGUGAUCAUGGGCAUUUACAAUAUACUUUACACACUUACAUUACCUGUGAUACUGUUCGGAGAUGGGGGCUGAAGGGGCAGGUGGCUCCAUCCCGGUAGAGGUGGGCCUGGGUUCCCGACGGCCCCCGACUGUUACUUUGUGGCGGAGCGACAGGGCAGGUUGAGACCACCUAGGAGAGAGGUGGGUCUGGCCCUGGUCGGCGUUCGCAGAUACUUAACACGUUUAACGAGAUCUUGGUAUUUGAUCUGAGUCUAGCUACUGGCCUAUACACACUAACCAUCUACGCGGGGACAGUUAUGGGCACUCGACGUCGUGGUAUCAGCCGAAGCCUUCAUGACGUCAGCGACUGAGUGGCGCGCGCCGGAUUGGACCGUAAGCCUGCUCUUGUAUUAAGGGGGCUAGUUCUGCUUCCGGCCGCGUACGCAACGUGCAGGUGUGCAAUGGGCGAUGGGCCCAGACCCCUGCGCCAUAGGAUUUAGACCGGUGUGCUGACCUCUCUGUUGUGCCUAGGUAGGGCUGCGACGUGUUGAUCUUCCGAGGCCGGGCAUGACCCAGGAAAGUGUGUCCGGCCAAAUGGGAUCGAGCGUGUUGGGAUAUGUGGUGCACCCCUGCAGGGAAGUUAAUCUAUUCGAAUAGCCGUGAUCUUCGGUAACAAGACGACUUGGAGUUGUACCUUGACCUUAUGACAACUAGAAGUGGAUACUUAAUAAAACACACCCUUCCAAGUGCCAGAUACAACCGGUGAUCGCUCUCUCACAGGGCGACGAGGGGAGGAUCAUCGGUUAGGGUUAUGCUAUGCGAUGUUACUUGGAGGACUUCAGUCUACUCUCUUCUACAUGCUGCAAGACGGAGGCUGCCAGAAGCGUAGUCUUCGACAGGAUUAGCUAUCCCCCUCUUUUUCUAGCAUUCUGCAGUUCAGUCCACCGAUAUGGCCUUUACACAUAUACCCAUGCAUAUGUAGUGUAGCUCCUUGCUUGCGAGUACUUUGGAUGAGUACUCACGGUUGCUUUCUCCCUCUUUUCCCCCUAUCCCUUCUACCUGGUUGUCGCAACCAGAUGUUGGAGCCCAGGAUCCAGACGCCACCGUCGAUGAUGACUCCUACUACACCGGAGGUGCCUACUACUACGUGCUGCCCGCUGACGACGACCAGGAGUAGUUAGGAGGAUCCAGGCAGGAGGCCUGCGCCUCCUUCGAUCUGUAUCCCAGUUUGUGCUAGCCUUCUUAAGGCAAACUUGUUUAACUUAUGUCUGUACUCAGAUAUUGUUGCUUCCGCUGACUCGUCUAUGAUCGAGCUCUUGUAUUCGAGCCUUCGAGGCCCCUGGCUUGUAAUAUGAUGCUUGUAUGACUUUUUUUGUAGAGUUGUGUUGUGAUAUCUUCCCGUGAGUCCCUGAUCUUGAUCGUACAUGUUUGCGUGUAUGAUUAGUGUACGGUCAAAUCGGGGGAGUCACAAGCGGCCAGCGGGGCCAAGGACCAUCGGGGAGGGGAGGGUUUUCUCAUUUCCUUUUCUUUUUGUUAGUUUUCAUUUUUUUUUCUUUUUCUGUUUUUUUCAGUUUCUUUUUCAUCUAAUUUUUUAUCUAAUAUUAAAAUGAUCCCUAAUUUAGUAAUACAUUAAAACCCACUACAACAAAAGGUUUUACCCCAAAGCAAUUUAGUUUAGUAUUUUGUUAAUUAUAAAAGCAUUUAUAUAUUGGUUUUUGCUACUGUUUUAUUCAUCUAAGGGUAUUUAAACAUUUUAUAAAAAUGGAGUUUCUUAACCAUAAUUACCUAUGCAUUAUUUGGCAUGUCUAGAGCAUUUUAGUUUUAAUGUUUGGAAAUUUUUAUCGUUUGACUUUAUUUAUUUAUUUUAAAUUGAACUGGGUUUCGAACUAACGCGAGAUUAGCAACAGUAAUCAUGAUGAUGUGGCAUCAUUACCAGAGGUUACUGUCGCUUGAUUAUUCGGGCGUCACAAUUCUCCUCCACUACAAGAAAUCUCGUCCCGAGAUUUAAGAGGUAGAGUAAGGGGGAAAGAUCUGGUUACGAAAUUCUAAUGGAUCUUCUCGAAGAAGUCAAUUCUUUAUUCCAAUGCAUCAUGAUAAACUUGUCAUCAUUUCUUCGGGAACUCUAUCGUACUUACGAAAGGUUAAGGGGCAGCUCAGCCACGUCAGAAUGCUUUUGAGGGAAAUAAUCUGGGGUUAACCCAUGAAUGAGUAUAAGAUUAUCUUUCGAGUUAAACUUAUGAAAUACAUCGAGAGUAAGGUACGAAGGUACAAUAAGAGGUUCCAAGCGGAUAGAUAGUUGCUCGAAGUCUGAACCAGAGUGAGAAAGGGGUUCAGAGUAGCGAGAGUAAGUAUUGCGUCUGAUACCAGAAUAGAGCAUUAGGAAGGUGGCCCAUGAAUUAACUACGAAGCCAAACAUGGAGAAUAACCAUUAGAAACAGGGUUGUACAUGAGAGUCAGGUUUCGAUCCUGGGACCUGUGGGUUAUGGGCCCUCCAUGUGGGUUAAGAAAUAGGGAGGGUGAUGUCCUCUUGCAUGGUCAUGAUAGCAUGGCAUGCCAGAAAUUAGUCUGUCAGUUAUGUCGCCAACAAUGUUGGUACCGAGGGCGAGGGACGAAGAGAACCAUUUUCCUGCUCGUUAAGACGAGGCGUACCAAUAGGCAAAGUUCUCGUCCAUCGGUGGUUACCGGAAUGUCAUCAACAUUAGUAACAAGGUUGUACUGACUGAAUUGUACCUCGAGGUGUUUUUAUAUAUAUAUAAGCAGGGAAUUAUUUCUGCUUAUAUCAUAUAUAUCAAAAGAAAGAUUGACAAACCAAUGGAAAGGAAAAUAUCUUUAUACACAAGAUUUAGGAGUGUAACUUUUCCCAAGGAAAAGUAGAGCAUGGUGUACAUGUUAGAUCAACAAGUACAUCACCAUUUGGAUAGAGGGGCAAGGGAAUUCAUGAUGUUAUCCAUACAAUGGUGUUUGGAUAAUAGAUCAAGAAACAUUUGGCAAUGCACUUCCAAUGUUCUUGUUGACAAACGGAGUACCACAGUUGUGCUUCAGGAUAGCAUUGACAUGGUCAUCAGGUAAAGGUCAUUCUUUGGAUACUCAAGGGAUCCAUCACAAAUUUUUAGAACAUCUCAUGCAAUUUUACCAGGAAAAAGAUGAGGAUGUGGCCGAUGGGUUCAGCAGCAAUCCAUCGACAUGUCAAAAAUGAUGUAUUUCCAAAAUUGUAUGAACUAGUUUGUGUUGGGGGGAGGCAAGAAUGUUUUCGAUGAUAACAUAAAUCAUCAAGGGGCAAGGGUGGUAUUUCUCAUCAUGAAUUUAAUUAAUAUCCUGGAAGAGCUCAGGAUGUUGAUGAUGAUCACGAUACAUUUGUCGAGAAAUUUCAUGAAGAUGUAAUCGAUCGGCGAUGACAUCAAGUCAAAGGAAUGAUGAAGCAAAAGGUUAUUGGAACCACAGGUACGGCACAAACUCGAAAACAAGCUUGUUGUUCAAGGAGAAAUGAUAUGAUGAGGAAGAGCGACACAUGCUUGGCUCAUCAUCGAAAAUUGUGCACCGGGGAGAAGAACCAGGUAGCUCAAUUAAAAUUUGGCAUGAUAAUGAUAUAGCCAACCUGGCUAGGAUUGACUAGAAGGAUUAUUAAACUCGUAAGCAACGAAAAUUACUUAGAGUUAUUGGAUCAGAGUGCGGAAUCGAUUCACUUAUCGGUGUUCUCAGUUUGACAAACAACCCAGAACCCUUGAAGCGACAAAGACAGGGUUAAGGUAGUACUCCAUCAAAAAGUUCAUAAAAUGUAGUGCAAUGACAUGAUAUCCUCGAGGUACCAGGGGUAAUACUCGAAGGUAGAUCAUAAUAGAGGUUGGGGAGAUGUAUUGAUCCACAGAAGACAAGUGCUUAAACUUGCGCGAGAAAUGGGAUCAAAGAAGAACAUACAGUCGAAUGUAUAGUUGCAAGGGAUCCAAUUUAAUGACACCGAAAGAGUUACAAAAAUGAUUAAAUAUUUUGCAAGAAGCUUCCAUGAUAAGUUCCACAUCGGGUCCAUGGGCAUGAACACAAAGUUCAAGGUCGACUCCCACUUCUCCAAUGCAUAACCUUUCAUUUACAUCUCGCGUUCGAUGAAGUUGUAGUGUUGAAAUUUUAUCUGGCAAAAUACCAGAAGAGUAUGACUCGUGAAAACUUUCUAGUUCACACAAAUUAAGGAAGGCAUAGGUUCGAGCCAUCGGGGCUUCUUAGAACAUAUACCAUGAACUUCAGGAGUAAUUAACACAAGCUCGGAAAUAGAGCAUGAUUGACAAAAGGAGAGGAUACAAUUUACCAAAGGCAUUAUGUAUCGGAGAAAGAACUCACAAGGUGAUUAAUUAUGAAGGACAUUGUCGGAUAAUAAUCAAACAGUGGAUAUGGCGAUCCACAAUGGAGCUGAUGUGAGUAUCGAUACCCAAUCAGAGGAAGAAAGAAUGCAAAUGCAUUCGUUUAUAGAACAUUUGAAUAAUUCAACGUUUAAAUAACAAAGGAAUUAUGAUUUCCAAAUCAAUGGAUUAGAAGCAAACGCUCUAGUUAAGGAUGGAUAAGUUGAGUAAGCAUAGGGGUACAAUCGACGGCAAUUGGAUUGAUUGAGAACUAGCUCAUGUUUAAAAUGACGUCUGAGCUGGAAAGAUAAUUUAAAAGGAUCAACUGAUGAUUGCGUGCAUUUGCACUCAUGUUGAAUCAGAAGGAUCAAAACUAUGGUGCCUAAGGAUACUAACGAAUAUUGCCAGACAUAUGGAAAGCAUCCAUCAUGGUAAGCAGACAAGUAUUGCAGAGCAAUAAGCUAAUAAGGAUUUUUGGAGGAUCGGAUAGUAUUUCGAAGACCAUUGUGAAACACAUGGACAACUGGGGGAUGAGCGGAUACUCCAUAAGUGCGAGAAUUAUCCGUAGGGGUAUUCAGGUGACAAAGAACAGCAAGGCAGUGAGCUCAAAGGAUUAUCGAAACAACGACGAGUAUUUCGGGGUAUCUUGUAAUAACAAGACCAACUGGGGGUGAAUGUAAGAAUAACAACUGCAAGUAGUUAUCCAUAAUGGUUGACGGUGGAAGGGGAAUUGUAAACGCGAUGAACACAAGUUCUCGGGUUAACAGCGGAGAGUAUCUUCAGGGUCUCCACGUGUAGUAGACGAUCAUCAGUAAUAAGGGGCUCUCCGGGUGAAAGCGAUAACGAGAUCCUAAUGUUAGAUUUAGCAAAAUUCAUUUAACCCGAAUAGAAGAGAGAUCAGAGCCCCAGAGUAAAGGUCGAGGAGUAAAAGAUCCUAGUACCACCCGAUGGCGACGUGGGCCCGUAAGACACACAGCCAUGUUAGUAAAAGUUUUUGCAAUGUCUAGACUCAACUUCGGCCAAGGAGUGUGGAAGGGGGAGUCCUACAGGCAGUCGGCUCUGAUACCAACUUGUGACGCCCCCGAUUCAAUCGUACACUAAUCAUACACGCAAACGUGUACGAUCAAGAUCAGGGACUCACGUGAAGAUAUCACAACACUACUCUACAAAUAAAAUAAGUCAUACAAGCAUCAUAUUACAAGCCAGGGGCCUCGAGGGCUCGAAUACAAGAGCUCGAUCAUAGACGAGUCAACGGAAGCAACAAUAUCUGAGUACAGACAUAAGUUAAACAAGUUUGCCUUAAGAAGGCUAGCACAAACUGGGAUACAGAUCGAAAGAGGUGCAGGCCUCCUGCCUGGGAUCCUCCUAACUACUCCUGGUCGCCGUCAGCGGGCUGCACGUAGUAGUAGGCACCUCUGGUGUAGUAGGAGUCGUCGUCAAAGGUGGCGUCUGGCUCCUGGGCUCCAACAUCUGGUUGCGACAACCAGGUAGAAGGGAUAGGGGGAAAAGAGGGAGAAAGCAACCAUGAGUACUCAUCCAAAGUACUCGCAAGCAAGGAGCUACACUACAUAUGUAUGCAUCGGUAUCAACUGGAAUAAGGCUAUUAUAUGUGGACUGAACUGCAGAAAGCCGGGAUAAGGAGGGAUAGCUAGUCCUUUUGAAGACUACGCUUCUGGCAGCCUCGUCUUGCAGCAUGUAGAAGAGAGUAGACUGAAGACCUCCAAGUAGCAUCGUAUAGCAUAAUCCUAACCGAUGAUCCUCCCCUCAUCGCCUGUGAGAGAGCGAUCACCGGUUGUAUAUGGCACUUGGAAGGGUGUGUUUUAUUAAGUAUCCGGUUCUAGUUGUCAUAAGGUCAAGGUACAACUCCAAGUCGUCCUGUUACCGAAGAUCACGGCUAUUCGAAUAGAUUAACUUCCCUGCAGGGGUGCACCACAUAACCCAACACGCUCGAUCCCAUUUGGCCGGACACACUUUCCUGGGUCAUGCCCGGCCUCGGAAGAUCAACACGUCGCAACCCUACCUAGGCACAACAGAGAGGUCAGCACGCCGGUCUAAAUCCUAUGGCGCAGGGGUCUGGGCCCAUCGCCCUUUGCACACCUGCACGUUGCGAACGCGGCUGGAAGCAGAACUAGCCCCCUUAAUACAAGAGCAGGCUUACGGUCCAAUCCGGCGCGCGCCACUCAGUCGCUGACGUCACGAAGGCUUCGGCUGAUACCACGACGUCGAGUGCCCAUAAUUGUCCCCGCGUAGAUGGUUAGUGCGUAUAGGCCAAUAGCCAGACUCAGAUCAAAUACCAUGAUCUCGUUAAAUGUGUUAAGUAUCCGCGAACACCGACCAGGGCCAGGCCCACCUCUCUCCUAGGUGGUCACAACCCGCCCUGUCGCUUCGCCACAAAGAUCCACACAGAGGGUCGUUGGGACAAAGGUCCUUUCAGCCCCCAAUCCGUGAAUCACUCGCGGGUGCUCCACAAGCCGACCCGACUUUAGUCACCACAUGUAUCAUGUAUAAAGUAUAUAGUAUAUACCCGUGAUCACCUCCCGAGUGAUCACGGCCCGAUAAUAUAACAUGGCAGACGGACAAGAAUGUAUGGCCACUGAUGAUAAUCUAGCAUCCUAUACUAAGCAUUAGGAUUGCAGGUAAAGGUAUCAACAGUAGUAGCAAGGACAGGCUAUGCAUCAGAAUAGGAUUAACGGAAAGCAGUAACAUGCUACACUACUCUAAUGCAAGCAGUAGAGAAAGAGUAGGCGAUAUCUAGUGAUCAAAAGGGGGGGCUUGCCUGGUUGCUCUGGCAAGAGAGAGGGGUCGUCAACACUGUAGUCGUACUGGGUAGCAGCGGCGUCGGUCUCGAUGUCUAGCGAGAGAAGAGGGGGAAGAAACAAUAAAUAUAAUGCAAACAGAAGCAUGACGAUGCAUGACGUGACAAAGCGUGAUGCUAGGUGUGCCCUAACGCGGUAUGAGGUGAUGCCAGUGAAGGGGGGAAACAUCCGGGAAAGUAUCCCCCGUGUUUCGUGUUUUCGGGCAGACGAGCCGGAGGGGGAAAGUUGCGAGUUCGAUAGGUUAGGGAUGCGUGACGGAUGAACGGGCUGCGUUUCCGGAUUCGUCUCGUCGUUCUGAGCAACUUUCAUGUACAAAGUUUUUUCAUCCGAGCUACAAUUUAUUUUAUAUUAAUUAUUAAAGAUUUAAAUCAUUUUUAGUACUAACAGAAUUAAUUAAUUUAGGAAAUACAAUUAUGACGCCAGCAUGAUGUCAGCAUGAUGUCAGCGGUCAACUCUGACCGUUGACCAGUCAACUGGUGGGUGGGGCCCGUCGGUCAUUGACUGUUAUCUCAUUAUCAGAAUUAAUUAGCCUAAUUAGGUUUAGGUUAACUAAACAGAAUUAAUUAAGUUAAUUAAUUAUCCUAAUUAAUUAGUUAUUAUAAUUUUCUAAUUCCUCUUUUUUUAAAGGGGCAUGGGGCCCAUAUGUCAUAGGCUCAUAGUAAUUAAAUAGGGCUAAUUAGCUUUAACUAAAUGAUUAGGUUAAUCUAAUCCGAUUUAAUUAAUUCUCUAAUUAAUUAAUUAACAUUUUAAUUAUCAUAUUUAUUAUUUAUUUUUCUUUUUUUUGUUAAAAACGUUCUGGUCGUGGGGCCCCCCUGUCAUAGGCAUAGGGGGCCUUAACGGGUUUUGGGCGCCGAGGCAACGGUUGUCGCCCGAAUGGGCGCAGUUGCGGGGCACCGGGUCGCCUGGACCCGGGCGCUGCCUUGCCGGCAGCCAUGGCGGGGCACGACACCGGCCAUGGAAGGGAGCGGGCCGCGGUGGAUGCGGCGGUAGGGGGUGGUAGCUGGGCCAAGGACGCGGCCGGCAGCCACGGCGAGCGGAGGCGGGCGCUAGAAGCGGUAGGGUGAAGGCGGAGAUGGCCGCGGGGUGAGGCGCGAGCGGGCGCGGGCUCGCGCGCGCGUGGCGCGUAGGCGCGGCGAGGCCGGGAGCACGACGACAGAAGUACGAGGCAGCACCGACGCGGACGACCUAGGGAAAGGGGUAGGGGAGAUGGGGUCAUACCCCCGGUGCAGGGGUUCAGUCGGCAAAGUUCGGGGCGGCCGGCGUGGAUCGAGGCGAGGCAUGUGGCGGCCGUCGUCGAAGAAGAUCGUCGAGGGAGCCAUCGUUGGGGCGUCCUAGCUCGCGUGCGCCAGUGUAGACGACGAAGACGACGAGGCAGACCUCACAGAUGCGAGGGGUUGCUGAUUCGGUGGUGUUGGUCGCGGUGGUUUGCGGCGGUUCCUCGCGCGCGGGCAUGCCGGCGAGGUGGGCUCCGGCNNNNNNNNNNNNNNNNNNNNNNNNNNNNNNNNNNNNNNNNNNNNNNNNNNNNNNNNNNNNNNNNNNNNNNNNNNNNNNNNNNNNNNNNNNNNNNNNNNNNNNNNNNNNNNNNNNNNNNNNNNNNNNNNNNNNNNNNNNNNNNNNNNNNNNNNNNNNNNNNNNNNNNNNNNNNNNNNNNNNNNNNNNNNNNNNNNNNNNNNNNNNNGGUUCCGAUCUGGAUCGGUGGGGGGAAGUGGGGGCGGUGGUUGCCCUAGGGUUCGAUCGGGUUGGGGGAUAAGGGAGGGCAGCCUAGGCCAGGUGACUGGCAUGAUGGGGAGCGGCCAGCUGGGCCAAGGCCCAUCGGGGAGGGGAGGGUUUUCUCAUUUCCUUUUCUUUUUGUUAGUUUUCAUUUUUUUUUCUUUUUCUGUUUUUUUCCAGUUUCUUUUUCAUCUAGUUUUUUAUCUAAUAUUAAAAUGAUCCCUAAUUUACUAAUACAUUAAAACCCACUACAACAAAAGGUUUUACCCCAAAGCAAUUUAGUUUAGUAUUUUGUUAAUUAUAAAAGCAUUUAUAUAUUGGUUUUUGCUACUGUUUUAUUCACCUAAGGGUAUUUAAACAUUUUAUAAAAAUGGAGUUUCUUAACCAUAAUUACCUAUGCAUUAUUUGGCACGUCUAGAGCAUUUUAGUUUUAAUGUUUGGAAAUUUUUAUCGUUUGACUUUAUUUUUUUAAAUUGAACUGGGUUUCGAACUAACGCGAGAUUAGCAACAGUAAUCAUGAUGGCGUGGCAUCAUUACCAGAGGUUACUGUCGCUUGAUUAUCCGGGCGUCACAGAUUCCUUUGCCAAGGCAAUUGCACCACUGUUGUCACAAAAGAUUUUCUUUGGACACGAUGCACUAGGUAUGACACCUAGAUCAGAUAUGAACUCCUUCAUCCAGACUCCUUCAUUUGCUGCUUACGAAGCAGCUAUGUACUCCGCUUCACACGUAGAUCCCGCCACGACACUCUGCUUGGAACUACACCAACUGACGGCUCCACCAUUUAAUAAAAAUACGUAUCCGGUUUGUGACUUAGAGUCAUCUGGAUCAGUUUCAAAGCUUGCAUCAACGUAGCCGUUUACGACGAGCUCUUUGUCACCUCCAUAAACGAGAAACAUAUCCUUAGUCCUUUUUAGGUAUUUCAGGAUGUUCUUGGCCGCUGUCUAGUGAUCCACUCCUGGAUUACUUUGGUACCUCCCUGCUAAACUAAUAGCAAGGCACACAUCAGGUCUGGUACACAUCAUUGCAUACAUGAUAGAACCUAUGGCUGGAGCAUAGGGAAUGGCUUUCAUUUUCUCUCUAUCUUCUGUAGUGGUCGGGCAUUGAGUCUGACUCAACUUCACACUUUGUAACACAGGCAAGAACCCUUUCUUUGCCUGAUCCAUUUUGAACUUCUUCAAAACUUUAUCAAGGUAUGUGCUUUGUGAAAGUCCGAUUAAGUGUCUUGAUCUAUCUCUAUAGAUCUUGAUGCCCAAUAUAUAAGCAGCUUCACCGAGGUCUUUCAUUGAAAAAAUCUUAUUCAAGUAUCCUAUUAUGCUAUUCAGAAAUUCAGUAUCAUUUUCGAUCAACAAUAUGUCAUCUACAUAUAAUAUCAGAAAUGCUACAGAGCUCCCACUCACUUUCUUGUAAAUACAUGCUUCUCCAAAAGUCUAUAUAAAGCCAUAUGCUUUUAUCACACUAUCGAAGUGUAUAUUCCAACUCCGAGAGGCUUGCACCAGUCCAUAAAUGGAUCACUAGAGCUUGCACACUUUGUUAGCACCUUUUGGAUCGACAAAACCUUCUGGUUGCAUCAUAUAUAACUCUUCUUUAAGAUAUCCAUUAAGGAUGCAAUUUUGACAUCCAUUUCCCAAAUUUCAUAAUCAUAAAAUGCGGCAAUUGCUAACAUGAUUUAGACGGACUUAAGCAUCGCUACGGGUGAGAAGGUCUCAUCGUAGUCAACUCCUUAAACUUGUCGAAAACCUUUUGCAACAAGUCGAGCUUUGUAGACAGUAACAUUACCGUCAGCGUCAGUCUUCUUCUUGAAGAUCCAUUUAUUCUCUAUAGCCUGCCGAUCAUCGGGCAAGUCAACCAAAGUCCACACUUUGUUCUCAUACAUGGAUCCCAUCUCAGAUUUCAUGGCCUCAAUCCAUUUUGCGGAAUCUGGGCUCAUCAUCGCUUCCUCAUAGUUCGUAGGUUCGUCAUGGUCAAGCAACAUGACCUCCAGAACAGGAUUAUCGUACCACUCUAGUGCGGAUCUUACUCUGGUUGACCUACGAGGUUCGGUAGUAACUUGAUCAGAAGUUUCAUGAUCAUCAUCAUUAGCUUCCUCACUUACUGGUGUAGGAAUCACUGGAACUGAUUCUAGUGAUGAACUACUUUCCAAUAAGGGAGCAGGUACAAUUACCUCAUCAAGUUCUACUUUCCUCCCACUCACUUCUUUCGAGAGAAACUCCUUCUCUAGAAAGGAUCCAUUCUUAGCAAUGAAUAACUUGCCUUCGGAUCUGUGAUAGAAUAUGUACCCAACAGUCUCCUUUGGGUAUCCUAUGAAGACACAUUUCUCUGAUUUGGGUUCGAGCUUACCAGGUUGAAGCUUUUUCACAUAAGCAUUGCAGCCCCAAACUUUAAGAAAUGACAACUUGGGUUUCUUGCCAAACCACAGUUCAUAAGGUGUCAUCUCAACGGAUUUUGAUGGUGCCCUAUUUAACGUGAAUGCAGCCGUCUCUAAAGCAUAACCCCAAAACGAUAGCGGUAAAACAGUGAGAGACAUCAUAGAUCGCACCAUAUCUAGUAAAGUACAAUUACGAUGUUCGGACACACCAUUACGUUCUGGUGUUCCGGAUGGCAUGAGUUGCGAAAUUAUUCCACAUUGUUUCAAAUGAAGACCAAACUCGUAACUCAAAUAUUCUCCUCCACGAUCAGAUCGUAGAAACUUUAUUUUCUUAUUACGAUGAUUUUCCACUUCACUCUGAAAUUCUUUGAACUUUUCAAAUGUUUUAGACUUAUGUUUCAUUAAGUAGAUAUACCCAUAUCUGCUCAAAUCAUCUGUGAAGGUGAGAAAAUAAUGAUAUCAGCCGCGAGCCUCAAUGUUCAUUAGACCACAUACAUCAGUAUGUAUGAUUUCCAAUAACUCUGUUGCUCGCUCCAUUGUUCCGGAGAAUGGAGUUUUAGUCAUCUUGCCCAUGAGGCAUGGUUCACAAGUACCAAGUGAUUCAUACUCAAGUGAUUCCAGAAGUCCAUCAGAAUGGAGUUUCUUCAUGUGCUUUACAUCAAUAUGACCCAAACGACAGUGCCACAAAUAAGUUGCACUAUCAUUAUCAACUCUGCAUCUUUUAGCUUCAAUACUAUGAAUAUGUGUAUCACUACUAUCAAGAUUUAGUAAAAAUAGACCACUCAUCAAGGGUGCAUGACCAUAAAAGAUAUUACUCAUAUAAAUAGAACAACCAUUAUUCUCUGAUUUAAAUGAAUAACCGUCUCGCAUCAAAUAAGAUCCAGAUAUAAUGUUCAUGCUCAACGCUGGCACAAAAUAACAAUUAUUUAGGUCUAAAACUAAUCCCGAAGGUAGAUGUAGAGGUAGCGUGCCAACGGUGAUCACAUCGACUUUGGAACCAUUUGCCACGCGCAUUGUCACCUCAUCCUUAACCAAUCUUCGCUUAAUCAGUAGCCCCUAUUUCGAGUUGCAAAUGUUAGCAACUGAACCAGUAUCAAAUACCCAGGCACUAUUGCGAGCAUUAGUAAAGUACACAUCAAUAACAUGUAUAUCAAAUAUUCCUUUCACUUUGCCAUCCUUCUUCUCCACCAAAUACUUGGGGCAGUUCCGCUUCCAGUGACCAGUCCCUUUGCAGUAGAAGCACUCAGUUUUAGGCUUAGGUCCAGACUUGGGUUUCUUCACUUGAGCAGCAACUAGCUUGCUGUUCUUCUUAAAGUUCCCCUUCUUACUUUACCCUUUUUCUUGAAACUGGUGGUCUUGUUGACCAUCAACACUUGAUGCCCCUUCUUGAUUUCUACCUCCAUAGCCUUUAGCAUCGCGAAGAGCUCAGGAAUCGUCUUAUCCAUCCCUUGCAUAUUAUAGUUCAUCACGAAGCUCUUGUAUCUUGGUGGCAGUGAUUGAAGAACUCUAUCAAUGACACUAUCAUCAGGAAGAUUAACUCCCAGCUGAGUCAAGUGGUUGUGGUACCCUGACAUUCUGAGUAUAUGUUCACUGACAGAACUAUUCUCCUCCAUUUUGCAGGUGUACAACUUAUUGGAGACUUCAUAUCUCUCAAUCCGGGCAUUUGCUUGAAAUAUUAACUUCAACUCCUGGAACAUCUCAUAUGCUCCAUGACGUUCAAAAUGUCGUUGAAGUCACGGUUCUAAGCCGUAAAGCAUGGCACACUGAACUAUCGAGUAGUCAUCAACUUUGCUCUGCCAGGUGUUCACAACAUCUGGCGUUGCUCCUGCAGCGGGUUUGUCACCUAGCGGUGCUUCCAGGAUGUAAUUCUUCUGUGCAGCAAUGAAAAUAAUCCUCAAGUUACGGACCUAGUCCGUGUAGUUGCUACCAUCAUCUUUCAACUUAGCUUUCUCUAGGAACGCAUUAAAAUUCAACGGAACAACAGCACGGGCCAUCUAUCUACAACAACAUAGACAUGCAAAAUACUAUCAGGUACUAAGUUCAUGAUAAAUUAAAAGUUCAAUUAAUCAAAUUACUUAAGAACUCCCACUUAGAUAGACAUCUCUCUAAUCAUCUAAGUGAUCACGUGAUCCAUAUCAACUAAACCAUGUCCAAUCAUCACGUGACAUGGAGUAGUUUUCAAUGGUGAACAUCACUAUGUUGAUCAUAUCUAUUAUAUGAUUCACGCUCGACCUUUCGGUAUCAGUGUUCCGAGGCCAUAUCUGCAUAUGCUAGGCUCGUCAAGUUUAACCCGAGUAUUCCGCGUGUGCAAAACCGGCUUGCACCCGUUGUAUGUGAACGUAGAGCUUAUCACACCCGAUCAUCACGUGGUGUCUCGGCACGACGAACUGUAGCAAUGGUGCAUACUCAGGGAGAACACUUGUACCUUGAAAUUUAGCGAGAGAUCAUCUUAUAAUGCUACCGUCGAACUAAGCAAAAUAAGAUGCAUAAAGGAUAAACAUCACAUGCAAUUCAAUAUAAGUGAUAUGAUAUGGCCAUCAUCAUCUUGUGCCUUUGAUCUCCAUCUCCAAAGCACCGUCAUGAUCACCAUCGUCACCGGCUUGACACUUUGAUCUCCAUCGAAGCAUCAUUGUCGUCUUGCCAACUAUUGCUUCUACGACUAUCGCUACCGCUUAGUGAUAAAGUAAAGCAAUUACAUGGCGAUUGCAUUUCAUACAAUAAAGCAACAACCAUAUGGCUCCUGCCAGUUGCCGAUAACUGUGUUACAAAACAUGAUCAUCUCAUACAAUAAAAUUAAGCAUCAUGUGUUGACCAUAUCACAGCACAACAUGCCCUGCAAAAAUAAGUUAGACGUCCUCUACUUUGUUGUUGCAAGUUUUACGUGGCUGCUACGGGCUGAGCAAGAACCAUUCUUACCUACGCAUCAAAAACCACAAUGUGCUAUAGUGAUUGCUACUUGAUUUUCAGAAAGAACCCUGUUCAUUGAAUCCGAUUCAACUAAAGUUGGAGAAACUGACACCCACCAGCCACCUGUGUGCGAAACACGUUGGUAGAACCAGUCUCGCGUAAGCGUACGCGUAAUGUUGGUCUGAGCCGCUUCAUCCAACAAUACCGCUGAAUCAAGAAUCAACUAGUGACGGCAAGCAAUAUGUAUAUACCCACGCCCACAACUCCUUUGUGUUCUACUCGUGCAUAUAACAUCUACGCAUAGACCUGGCUCGGAUGCCACUGUUGGGGAACGUAGUAAUUUCAAAAAAAUUCCUACGCACACGCAAGAUCUAUCAUGGUGAUGCAUAGCAACAAGAAGGGAAGAGUGUUGUCCACAUACCCUCGUAGACCGUAAGCGGAAGCAUUAUAACAACGCGGUUGAUGUAGUCGUACGUUUUCACGAUCCGACCGAUCCUAGUACCGAAAGUACGACACCUCCGCGAUCUGCACAUGUUUGGCUCGGUGACGUCCCAUGAACUCUCGAUCCAGUUGAGUGUCGAGGGAGAGCUUCAUCAGCACGACGACAUGAUGAUGGUGAUGGUGAAGCUACUGGCGUAGGGCUUCGCCUAAGCACUACGACGAUAUGACUGGGGUGGAUUAUGGUGGAGGGGGGCACCGCACACGGCUAAGGGAUCAAUGAUCAACUUGUGUGUCUUAGGGUGCCCCCUACCCCCGUAUAUAAAGGAGCAAGGGGGAGGCCGGCCGGCCCUUGGAGGCGCGCCAAGGAGGGGAGGAGUCCUCCUCCUAGUAGGAGUAGGACUCCCCCUUUCCUAGUCCAACUAGGAGGAGGAAGGGGGAAGGAAGGAGAGGGAGAGAAGAGAAGGAAAGGGGGGCGCCGCCCCCUUCCCUAGUCCAAUUCGAACUAGAUGGGGAGGGGCGCGUGGCCCUGCCUUGGCCGACCCUCUCUCUCUCUCCACUAAGGCCCAUGUUGGCCCAUCAGUCCCCCCGGGGGUUCCGAUAACCCCCGACACUCUAAUAAUUAUCCGAUGACCCCCGGAACUCAUCCGGUGUCCGAAUAUAGUCAUCCAAUAUAUCAAUCUUUAUGUCUCGACCAUUUCAAGACUCCUCAUCAUGUCCGUGAUCACAUCCGGGACUCUGAACUAUCUUCGGUACAUCAAAACACAUAAACUCAUAAUUCCGAUCGUCACCGAACGUUAAGCGUGCGGACCCUAUGGGUUCGAAAACUAUGUAGACAUGACCGAGACACGUCUCCAGUCAAUAACCAAUAGCGGAACCUGGAUGUUCAUAUUGGCUCCCACAUAUUCUGCGAAGAUCUUUAUCGGUCAAACCGCAUAACGAUAUACGUUGUUCCCUUUGUCAUUGGUAUGUUACUUGCCCGAGAUUCGAUCGUCGGUAUCUCAAUACCUAGUUCAAUCUCGUUACCGACAAGUCUCUUUACUCGUUCCGUAAUGCACCAUCCCGUAACUAACUCAUUAGUCACAUUGCUUGCAAGGCUUAUAGUGAUGUGCAUUACCGAGAGGGCCCAGAGAUACCUCUCCGAUACUCGGAGUGACAAAUCCUAAUCUCGAUCUAUGCCAACUCAACAAACACCAUAGGAGACACAUGUAGAGCAUCUUUAUAGUCACCCAGUUACGUUGUGACGUUUGAUAGCACACUAAGUGUUUCUCCGGUAUUCGGGAGUUGCAUGAUCUCAUAGUCAUAGGAACAUGUAUAAGUUAGGCAAUAGCAACAAACUAAAUGAUCAUCGUGCUAAGCUAAAGGAUGGGUCAAGUCAAUCACAUUAUUCUCUAAUGAUGUGAUCCCGUUAAUCAAAUGACAACUCAUGUCUAUGGUUAGGAAACAUAACCAUCAUUGAUUCAACGAGCUAGUCAAGUAAAGGCAUGAUAGUGACACCCUGUUUGUCUAUGUAUUCACACAUGUACUAAGUUUCCGGUUAAUACAAUUCUAGCAUGAAUAACAAACAUUUAUCAUGAUAUAAGGAAAUAUAAAUAACAACUUUAUUAUUGCCUCUAGGGCAUAUUUCCUUCAAAACAGAAGUACGACAGUCCUUCAUACUGAAUAUCAUACAAGAUGGACUCCUUGGUCCUAGCCGAUUCGAGCUGCACCCACCUCAUUAGAGGCUCCUACACUCUAAUCCAAAUUCGUGCUCUAAGGGACUCUCCAAAAGCAAAGCCCUUUGAGUCCACAUCCAGCUUUAUUACCUCUCCAUCAUACCUGCAAUUCGCUCAGGCCAUGGCGGGUACCGGAGAUUGAAAGGCAGUUUGAUUACCUUAGCCCAAAUUUACAUGUUCUCAAACUUCCAAUCGGAUGGUCGGGCCCUGAAAUCAAACAGCUCCAAGAUCAACGCGUGCUUCCCAACCAUCCACGGCCCGCCUCCAAAGAUGCGAUCACGAUCACGUUGAUUCUCCAAGUUUGCAACAAAAGUGUUCUCCCCUACCGGGUUAAAAUUCAGUCCCUUCGGGUUCCCCCAAGCCGGUCGGAGGACUUUUGCAAUUGUGUUGACAUGGAUGAACUUGCGGUGCAGAACCCUCCCCACCAGAGCCAGUUGGGGUGUCGUUCCUUCCACCUCCUAAUCGUCUACUACUAGCUUCCUGCUCUCCUUAUCUGCCAGUUUCAUCUUCUCCAUCAUAUGCUCCACUUUCUCCCUCGACUUCCUCGAUUCCUCUGACGCCAUGUCGCCCCGUUCCACAACCCUAGAUGCUACCUCUCCUCGUGCUCCAAGGGUGGGUGGGGGUACCAGGACCCCCCCCCUUGAACACCCCGAGAGCAGCCGCGGAGAAGGCGCCGAUCAGGGAUCAGAUUCAGUGCGGAGGGCGCCCAGGAUGAUUGCGCGCGCGUGGGAGAUCGGAAUCGCCGCCGCCGCCUGUCCUGCCACUAAACCCUAGAAGACCGUUCGGGCUUCAUUCAAUUGGGAAUCGUAACUGUCAGCCCGUGUGAUUCGAACCCAUUUGAAGACCAAAAUUUUGUCGGUCGCAACUCUCCCAUGGCAUGUGGAGAGCACAGAUGACCAGGUUGACCACUUGACCAUAUACGUCCAUAAACUCCACACAUAAUGUCUAAAAAAUUCACCGUCUACAUGUGAGUUAUAAGGGAGCACCUUAAUGCCAGAAAUGUGUAUAAGUUUUUCUUGUUUCAAUCACUUUUCCCUAAGCCGCUAGAUGUUGAACGAACAACAAGAAAUAAGAAAUAGAUCAGGCACCGUUCAUCUUCUUCAACCUCACCUUCUUCUUUCUCCCAUGUAACUGCUGACCUACCCUGCCCCAUCCGCUUUGCCUACACCCUGUGGCCGGUGGGUCCUGCCGCACCGCCUAUACCUCCUCCACUAUAGUUGCUUGCCGCCACCGCGACCAUCCCUCUAUCAGCUAUUGUCGGCUCCGGCUCAUGCACGGCUCACCCUCGUCAUGAUUGGCGCUGGCUCUCCUCAUGUCAUCCCCGCCUUCAACUCGCGCGAAGUGGAAUCGACUGACGCAACAACAACAAAAAUCCAGGUACCCGGUGAUUAUCAAACGUGAAGUUAUAAUGAUGUUUGAUCAAUCAAUCAAUGUCUUAAGUCUUAACAUGCAAAUUCGGAAGACCAAGGCACAACCAAGGCACAAACAUGCAACUAGUUUUUGUUAGUUUGAACAUUGCUCUCGUUGAACCAAAUUCGGAAGACCAAAACUCUCCUGGGCGUGUGGAAAGCACAGGUGAGUGACGAACCCACACUCACAAAAUCCAUCGCGUGUUCAUGUGGACCACAUACACCCGUGGACUACACCCACAGCACAACGGUACCCCGUCCAGCCAUUCACCGUCUACCCGUGUACACCGCGUCCAUCCAGGAACCCCCCACACACCACACUGCACAAACUGCCACGCCCACGCGGCCUCCCCACCCCCACGAACCCCCCGUCUCACUGCCCGUGGGCCCAGCUCCCCCGACCCCACCCGUCAUAGAGACGGUCGGUGCGCGCAGCCUCCAUUUCGUCGAGACACCUCGCCCCCAUCUCCACCACCCACACCAGCCAAGGGGCACACGGUCUCCGCCCCCCCCCNNNNNNNNNNNNNNNNNNNNNNNNNNNNNNNNNNNNNNNNNNNNNNNNNNNNNNNNNNNNNNNNNNNNNNNNNNNNNNNNNNNNNNNNNNNNNNNNNNNNNNNNNNNNNNNNNNNNNNNNNNNNNNNNNNNNNNNNNNNNNNNNNNNNNNNNNNNNNNNNNNNNNNNNNNNNNNNNNNNNNNNNNNNNNNNNNNNNNNNNNNNNNNNNNNNNNNNNNNNNNNNNNNNNNNNNNNNNNNNNNNNNNNNNNNNNNNNNNNNNNNNNNNNNNNNNNNNNNNNNNNNNNNNNNNNNNNNNNNNNNNNNNNNNNNNNNNNNNNNNNNNNNNNNNNNNNNNNNNNNNNNNNNNNNNNNNNNNNNNNNNNNNNNNNNNNNNNNNNNNNNNNNNCGCGAUCCAAUCGCCUCGCCGUCGCCGCCGCCCGCCGCCGCCGACGCCAUGUCCUUCCUCGCGCGGGCGCUCCGCCACUCGAAGCCGUACCUGCCGUCGCGCGGCCCCGCGGCGGGCGUCUCCUGCCGCUGGAUCUCGUCGACGUCCGCCGCGGGCUCGCCCGAGGCCGGCGCGGCCGUGGCGCCCGCCGACCCGGAGCUGCCGCCGCCGCGGGAGCCCGUCGGGGGCGCCCGCGUCGAGCUGCCGCCCAACCCGGAGGACGCGCUCGAGGUGUUCGUCGACGGGCACGCCGUGCGGAUCCCCAAGGGCUUCUCCGUGCUCCAGGCCUGCGAGGUCGCCGGCGUCGACAUCCCGCGCUUCUGCUACCACAGCCGCCUCUCCAUCGCCGGCAACUGCCGCAUGUGCCUCGUCGAGGUCGAGAAGUCGCCCAAGCCCGUCGCCUCCUGCGCCAUGCCCGCCCUCCCAGGUCAGCCGUCCCCCCAUUUUGUUUCUUCUUUCAGCGUGUUAUAUUCGCAUCGGCCUCUCAGAUCCAUUCAGCUCCUAGACAAUCAGCGCCUUAGGGUCCUCACGCACAUUUCGUUUAAUCAGUAAUGGUUGUAGAGGCUAGAAAUAUCGACCUAGUUAAUUGUUGUUGGGGUACUGAAUGAUCGUCUAGUGUGUGUGAUUUCUUGUGAGAUUUGCGGGGGUUCCUGACCUUGGAGUGCCUUAUUUGUUGGAUUAGGGAUGAAGAUUAAGACAAACACACCAAUUGCCAAGAAGGCAAGGGAGGGUGUCAUGGAGUUCCUGUUGAUGAACCAUCCGCUGGAUUGCCCAAUCUGUGACCAGGGCGGGGAGUGCGACCUCCAGGAUCAGUCCAUGGCCUUUGGGGCUGACCGUGGUCGUUUCACCGACAUGAAGCGGUCGGUUGUGGAUAAGAAUUUGGGCCCCUUGGUGAAGACGGUGAUGACCCGUUGCAUCCAGUGCACAAGGUGAUGUUUUUGGUGCUUCUUGGUCAAUGUUUAUGAGUAUUCACUUUAAAUAAAUUCAUGCAUAUCCGGUUUCUCUAUGUUUUCACGACUGUAGGUGAUUCAUUUUUUCUAGUGGUGUAAGGUUAAGAGCUUAUUGUGAGAACUUGUUAACGUUAACAACUGUUGGAGCAGAGCAUUCCUUCUAAUUUAUUCAUGUGCUUCAGUAUGAACAAUUUACUGGUUCUUAGUUUGUGUUGCAUUAUUGUUGCAGUAACAAAUUAUCCUUUGGGGAAAAUAGUUUAGCUACUUGUGCAUAGUUUACCUUUACAUUCUGCUAGUAUGUAAUUUUCAAUUUUCUUUGAUCUUACAGGUGCGUCAGGUUUGCAUCUGAGGUUGCUGGUGUUCAGGACCUGGGUAUGUUAGGCCGUGGCAGUGGUGAAGAAAUCGGAACAUAUGUGGGGAAACUUAUGACAAGUGAACUAUCUGGAAACGUUAUUGAUAUCUGCCCCGUUGGAGCUCUUACAUCCAAGCCAUUUGCAUUUAAAGCUAGGAACUGGGAGAUGAAGGGCACUGAGACUAUUGAUGUUACUGAUGCAGUAGGGUCCAACAUACGUGUUGACAGCAGAGGUCCUGAAGUUAUGCGCAUUGUUCCUCGUCUCAAUGAGGUUUGCUUAUUCUCUGCUUCUUUGUAACUUUGCCUGUUUUGUACGGUCAUACUGCCUGAUACUUCAUGGUAAUAUUGCUAUAUUAAGUUAUUAACCAUGUUGUGAACCCCCAGAAGCCAUAACAUAUGCUAAGUCUGCCGUAAAAGGUUGCCCACCGUAUGAAGAAGGCUUGUAGGCACUAGGCACCACCCUCCUACCUUAAGUGCGACUGUCUAGCCCAUGUAAUCAGUAACUAGGUGCUAGGCGAUACCUCCUGCCCUUCUAGUGCCUAUGCUUUUGGGAACAUUAUAAAUGUUACAAUAUGGUCAUUACGGAAAUUUCUGUCAUGCUUUCUCAGAAUGGCAUCCAUAACUCUUGUCGAAAGAUUGUUCAAUGUUGUUAAAUGAACAUCCAAAUUACUGUGUGUGCUUAAAUUAUUAGGUUAACUGCUCCAUAUGCAUUAAACUGUUAUUUAACAGUUAAACCGUUGUAUUAUUACCAACUAAAAAGCACGGUUACGGGGACGGAAAGACGGGGAUGCGCAUACGGGGAUACGGCAUUUUUCAAAAACAGCCAUUCAGGGAUACGGCGAGUAUAUAUAAAAUAAAAUAAAAAUAUGCCAUGUAAUAUACAUUUAAGACAGAAAAUUAAUGAGAAAGAGAUGAGAAUAGAGAAUAGUGCCCCAUUUGGUGUCUCUUUUAUCAAGUGCUUGAUUGAUCCUCAUUCCCCCAUGUCAUGUCGUCAUUGCAAGCUGCAUCCAUCUUGCAAAACACAUCAAACACAAACAGUAAAGAAGGUUAGAAGAUUAAAAGACAAGACAUAAUUGGAAGACAAUACAAGCAUGAGCAGCAGCAGCACCAGCAUAAGCGGCAGCACAAGCAAGCAGCAAGCCAGCAAGCAACAUCCAGCAGCACAAGCAAAUCUGAAGAAUAAAAGAGGUUGAGGAAAGAGGAGAGGGGAGAGGCUGCUGGGUUACAUGCGAGGCUGCGGGUAGCGCCAGCGGUCGCCGGUCGAAUCCAGGCGUCGCCGGCGGCGGCGGCUUCGAUCUGGGAGGCUGGCGGCGCGUUCCAGUGUUACCUGGGAGGCUGGGAGGGAGCAGCUCGUCCUUGAGACGAGAGCGUGCGGGAGUUCCUGCAAAUAGGUUAGGUAUACUGGGUUGGGUCGAGGCUGUUUUGGGCCAGGCCGUGUCCCAAAUGUAUCCUGCACGUGUCCCGGCGUAUCCCUGUGUUUUUUCUCUUUUUUAAAAAAUAAAAAAUCGGGGGAUACUGCAAAGUUCGCGAAUCCUGGCGUAUCCUCGUAUCCCGCCGUAUCAGAACGGCAGUUCGGCACUUCCAGCCGUGUCUGUGCCUUUUAGAUUACCAAUGCUGCCUCUCCCAUACAGUGACAUGUUACCUUGGUAUAUUUUGUAAUAUUAGUAGCUUGACAGUGCUCCCAGGAUUUGUUCUUCUUGCAGAGUCAUAUUGUAACUGAAUGCAUUUGUCAUAGCGUAUCUUAUUUGCUUCCACUGUUUUUGAGUCGAAACUAGUCAUGACUAGUCGACGAGUCGUAACUGAAAGUCGACUCAAAUCAUUGGCUGAGUCGAGCGACUCGAUCGACUAGUCGCGACUAGUCCAGGUUUUGGAGUCGAACUUCUAAAAGCUGGCCCCGCCUGUCUAUUUUUUUUGCUUGCCCAAUCCCCCCGUGAAACCUAGAUCGAGACUAGUUUUCCCCUGAUCGAAACCUACCCUGCGACCCUCUCCCUUGCCCCUUGGCCGGCGGCGUCGCAAGCUGGUUGCUGCUGCUCCCCUGGUUGCUGGCUUGCUGUUGCUCAUCCCCUGUACCUAUUGCUUAACUCAUGUCAACUAGUCGACCAUGAGUCUAGAUUAUUCACGACUAGUCAAGAGUCGCUACCCCAGAACGACUCGUCGACUCCAAAACAUUGUUCCUGAUUCUGGACCUAAAAGAGAUGGUAGUAAAUGUUGGUGUACUGUGAGAAUAUAAUACAACAUAAUUUAAAGUGCUCUUUCAUACUUUUGUUAUGUAAUUUGCUUAAGGAAUGGCUAGUUGACUGAGCCUUCCAUCCUUAGCCUGCUAAUUUAUUUGCUAUGAACAUGAAAACCCAAUUGAGCAUAUUUUUAUCAUUGCAGGAUAUCAAUGAAGAAUGGAUAUCUGACAAAACACGGUUUUGUUAUGAUGGUUUGAAGAGGCAAAGACUAAAUGACCCUAUGAUUCGUGGUCCUGAUGGCAGGUUCAAGGCAGUGACAUGGCGUGAUGCUAUUGCGGUUGUUGCUGAGGUUUUGAAUCAAGUCAAGCCAGAAGAAAUUACUGGAGUCGCUGGCAAACUUUCUGAUGCAGAAUCCAUGAUGGCGCUGAAAGAUUUUAUUAAUAAAAUGGGUUCGGAUAAGGUGCUCUGUGAGGGGAAUGGCCCGAAUCCACCAGCAGAUAUUCGAUCAAACUACCUAAUGAAUACUAGCAUUGCUGGUCUUGAGAAAGCUGAUGUCUUCCUUUUGGUUGGCACACAGGUAAAACUCUGGUUUUCUUGCUCAUGAUCAUUUCUCAGUUGCUUUCCUUAUCUAACAAUAUGCUUAGUUUGGUGUUCUGGUAGUGUAUAAUCCUCUGUUCUUGGAUGUGCAACUGCUUGAAAGCAUCUUUUAGAGCCAUUGCGGCAAUAUCUUGCUAGAGUUUAUAAAAACAACCCCGUAAUAGAAAUAUUCCAUGACACAUCACAACAUAACAUGUUGAGCACAAAGUAACCUCUAAUUAUAUACCAUUGCUAGUGGUGUUUUUCUUUCCAAUAGCUAGUAGUAUACUAGUAAUAAUGCAGCUGAUGUUUCUAAAGAAUUGCGGUUACUUUCUUCAAGCGUAACGUAGCAAUGAACCACCAUUAAGUAGACGAAUUUAUUUGUGAAUAAUAUCCAACUUGUGAGACCAAGGGAAUUGAGAUGUGCUGUUUGUCCUUCAUAUCUUUUGUCACCCCUUCUUUUCGGUCAUCCAACUAUUCUGAGUAACAUUUUUUGUUUGCCUCCAUAAAACAGCCAAGGGUGGAAGCUGCUAUGGUGAACGCAAGGAUUCAGAAGACUGUUAGAGCAACACAAGCAAAGGUGGGCUACAUUGGUCCUCCAGCAGACUUCAACUAUGACACUUGGCAUCUUGGCACAGGGCCAGAUACCCUUGUCGAGAUCGCCGAGGGCCGACAUCCUUUCUGUUCAAUACUGAAGUCUGCAAAGAACCCAGUAAUCAUCGCUGGAGCUGGGUUAUUCGAACGAGAAGACCAAGGUGCUGUGUUCUCAACAAUUGAAACCGUAGCCAAGAAGUUCAAUGUGACGAGACCAGACUGGAACGGGCUUAAUGUCCUAUUGCUCCAUGCUGCACAGGCCGCAGCUCUUGAUCUGGGCCUCGUCGCUAAUCCUACCGAGAGCGUCAAGUCUGCAAAGUUCCUUUACCUGAUGGGAGCCGAUGAUGUGAACUUGGACAACCUUCCAGCGGAUGCAUUUGUUGUUUACCAGGGCCACCAUGGUGACAAGGCCGUGUACAGGGCCAAUGUUAUUCUGCCAUCUUCAGCAUUUAGUGAGAAAGAAGGCACUUACGAGAACACUGAGGGUUGCACCCAGUGGACCAUCCCAGCUGUGCCUACAGUUGGUGAUGCUAGGGAUGACUGGAAGAUCGUCCGUGCUCUUUCCGAGGUUGCCGGGGCGCCACUGCCCUACGACAGCGUCGCAGCUGUGAGGAGCCGGAUUAGUAUGGUGGCCCCAAAUCUUGUGCGCGUUGACGAGAGGGAGCCUUCGGUGAUCUCUGCCGAGGUGAAGCCUCCGGUGAAGCAGCAAGUGAGCCCGGCUCCAUUCAAAGCUGCCGUGGAGAACUUCUACAUGACCGACGCGAUCACACGGGCUUCCAAGAUCAUGGCUCAGUGCAGCGCAACCUUGAAGAAGUGAGGUCCUACUCUAUGUUACGCCCCCUUGAAGAAGUUAAAUCAUCGGCAUACGAGAUUUUAGUUGCUUUUUCCAUUUCACUCACCAGUUGUUGCUUGGGAGUAUAAAUUUGGACUGCCUCUACCCUAGCUAGAUCCGAGGAGCAGCGAAACUUGAAAGCAGUGCAUUUUUCUGUAACGUGUGAGAAGCGGAGCAUACUUAAUAAGCUUGUUUUGUCCUUUUGAAUUAGACGGCAGCCGCAAGCAAAUAAUUUUGUUGUAUUUGGGUUUUCGCCUGCUCGUUUCACGGUUCCAGGGUGCAGGCGAAUGUAGCUGUAUGUGCAAAUUAAGGUAUACCCC